rnacentral:lncRNA from 1 species
AGCCGAGGCAAUGGCCUCUAUUGAUUUCUUCCUUGGCAUUUUUGCUCAUAGCCACUACUGCCACGGCUGCUUAUGAGCCUUACAUUUAUGCCUCACCACCUCCACCGCCUUACUAUUACAAGUCACCACCACCACCAGAAUAUUCUCCACCACCACCUUACUACUACAAAUCUCCACCACCACCUGAGAAGUCUCCCCCGCCACCUUACUACUAUCACUCACCACCUCCUCCUAAGAAGUCACCCCCACCACCUUACUACUAUAAGUCUCCGCCUCCGCCGAAGGAAUAUCCCCCACCACCUUACUACUACAAGUCUCCGCCACCACCGGAGAAGUAUACCCCGCCACCUUACUACUACAAGUCUCCGCCCCCACCCGAGAAGUAUACCCCGCCACCUUACUACUACAAGUCACCGCCCCCUCCGCCACCUUACUACUACAAGUCUCCGCCACCACCGGAGAAGUAUACCCCGCCACCUUACUACUACAAGUCACCGCCCCCACCCGAGAAGUAUACCCCGCCACCUUACUACUACAAGUCACCGCCCCCACCGGAGAAGUAUCCCCCUCCACCUUACUACUACAAGUCACCGCCCCCACCGGAGAAGUAUCCCCCUCCACCUUACUACUACAAGUCACCGCCCCCACCAGAGAAGUAUCCCCCUCCACCUUACUACUACAAGUCACCGCCCCCACCAGAGAAGUAUCCCCCUCCACCUUACUACUACAAGUCACCGCCCCCACCAGAGAAGUAUCCCCCUCCACCUUACUACUACAAGUCACCACCGCCACCAGAGAAGUAUCCCCCUCCACCUUACUACUACAAGUCACCACCGCCACCACCUUAUUAUUAGAAGUCUCCUCCACCUCCCUCUCCAUCUCCACCCCCUCCAUACUACUAUAAGUCGCCACCUCCUCCUUCUCCAUCUCCACCCCCACCGUACUAAUAUUUGUCUCCUCCACCUCCUAAAGGCUACUAAAUAUACAAUGUGUUGUUGAAACAUGUGUGAUCUUAGUUAUGUAAGAAUAAGUGUAAGUUUGUAAGCUUGUUCUAUUUCUGAUUUUUUCUUCAUCAAUGUUUUUGUGAAUAAAAGGAUUUGAGAUGGUAAAUCCAUUUGUAAGAAGUGCUGCUCAUUUUCGUUGUAAAAGUUAUUGUAAGCAAUAAGAUCUCGUAAUUUAAGGUUUCAUAAAAGUUAUAUGUGCAACUACUUUCAAUUUCCAUUGUCAUCUUUUUCACAACCACCAAGCGUAUUACUUCUUUAUAGAUGGAAAAUGCAGAGGCAAGCUUAUUAUUCUUUAAUAUUACCAUUCUUGAUGUGUUUGUUUAUUUAGUUGAAACGGUAAAUAAAAUGUACAUGAAGUACCGCACUGCAUCCAAAUUAAAUUUAGGAUAUAGACUAAGUUCAUGUAAUCUCAAUUUUGUCACAUUAUUAUUGGAUUUUAUAUAAAUAGCUAAUUUCUUUUCCUUCCGAAUUUCGACGGGAAGGAGAAUUUAUUAAGUAAUACAGAGAAGUGCACCUAGUAAUAUUUAAAGAGGAUAUAAUGAGCACUACCUUUCAUGAUGAUAAUGCCCAUGAACAAGUAAGAGAAGCUUAGAGUUUUAUUCCUACUCAAAUCAGAUUCUACGGAGGAGUUAUAUUCGUACCUUUUUAACGCUUUACAUAUAUGAUUAGAGAAUUAUGAGGACAUAAAUUCCGCUAUAAAUUUGUUGUUAUAUUUAGAGGAGUUUACAUGACUGGAGAAUUAUACACACAUAAAUUCUUUGAUGUCCAUUUUAAAUUAUAUUCCAAAAGGGAAAAUGUUUUCCGUUUAUGGUUUAAAAAUAGAAGCUUUGUGCUUUUUUUUUUUAAAAAAAAAAUCUAGAUCAUUCAGUGAAUAUUGGUUGUUAAUUUACUGCCAAAAUACUCGUAAGUUUAUUUAUUUAUUCUGUAAUGCAACUUUUGGGAUACAUAAUAAUCAUAUAAAUAAAUAAACUAUAUUGUAAUAUAUUUCAAUUAACUUGUUGACUUGUAUGAAAAGAGCGUGUCAUUACCUUUUAUGCCUAAUUAAAUUUACAAUUUUAGUCCCUAUGAUUUUUUUUUUUCAAUCAUUAAUUCCAUGCUCUUAUGAGUAGAAACAUAUGUAGAAUUUUGAUAUUUAAGAGUUGGUGGAGUUUCUAUGAUAUUUUGUACCUGUGGCUCAUCAUUUCACCACGGUGGGCAACUUCAUGGAUUUUGUCCUCUAAAAGGUAGCACUCUAACUUAAGAUGCCAUGUUCUUCAGAAAGUUAUCAAAUAGUUGAAUAGUUAUAUUAAGUUUAUUAUUGAUAAGAAUCUUAAUUAACUAGAUAUAGUACUUAAUAUACAAUGUUUUAUUCGUGAAAUUGUUGAACUAUUUUCACCAUUUUUCAAUGUCAUUUUCAGGAUGAGCUAUCAUUUGGAAUUUCAUUUUCUAUGGACUCUCACUUUUUCCCAUAACCACUUUUUUUGUUUAUAUUUUAUCAGAUUAAUUAUUCCUUGUUUGUUUAGAAGGAGCUUUCAUAUUGGAGAAAUACAUUACGUAUCUUAUAAAUCUAUGCAUCUUUACCUUUUUUUUUCCCAAAAUAAUUAAAAAAAAAAAAACCUCACCAAUGACCAAUCCAAUGUUCAAUAUGAAAAGUUUGAAGAAAAAAUGGUGUGAACUAAAACAAAAUAUAUAAUUUUGUCACAAUCCAAGAAAAAAAAAUCAUUAUAAAAUAUAAUUAAGAGGUAGCCACCUUCUCUACAUCAAUUUGUCACAAAACUAUAUCAGUGAGAUAUAUGCAAGACUCACCCAUUGGUACAAAAGAAAAUGAUCAAAGUGGAAGCAAAAAUGUGGUGAUAAUUUAGAUGAUCUCCACUCCCCAUUUAGUUUCAUUUAUUAAGUUAAUGUUUAAUCAAGAGUCUAAUUACUCAUUUUAUUAUGUUAUUAAUCAACUGCCGCCCCUUCCACUGGUUCAUUAUUUUUUAUGGAAUACAAAAAACAGACAAUAAUAUUCUUUGACAUAGCUAGGAAUAUAGCCCACUUGCAAGAGACUUACAUUCCAUCGCUCCCUAAUUUCCCGUGUAACAUCUUAUCUUGCAUCACAUCAGAGACGUGUUCGUUUGCACAGCCAUUUCGUGAAUAUAAAAUUGCUGCCGAAUAAGCAUCUAAUCAAAAGAAUUUGUCAACGGUAUAAAUUAAAAUAUAAAAAACGAGUAAAAGAAUUUGUCAAUAGGAUAUGGGAGGCCAUGGCUUCAAUCGGUUUGUGCAAUGGUCAAUGGCAUAUUUUUGCUCAUCGUCACCACUGAAUCCACUGAUCAUUUGUGCAUGUGAGUUGUUUUUGAGCAUUUAUUUUUCCCUUUAGAAGCAUAAGGAUAAGGCUAGUCUUCUUUUUGGGAGGACUUAUUGCUUCCAUUCGUUAAAAUUGGGCAUGUAAAAUGUCAAGAAAAAAUGGCCUAAGUGGCUAGCUAGAUGAUAUAAUGGAUGGUUACUACUCAAACCUAGCAAUAAAUGAAUGUCCGACAAGCAUUCAAAUGAAUGAAUAAAACCAAUCAGAUUAGAAUAUCUAUUUAUGAUAGAUUAAUGAAAAUACGAUUCAAAUAUAAGGUAAAUAAUCUCUCCAUUAAUUUUUUAUUGUUUCAGGCAGGGUUGCCAAGCCUCUGUCCGGGCUUCUAUAAGCUCAAUUCCAGCUCUCCUAUAUGAUUGAAUUAGAUCGGGCUAGGCCCUCGGACUUUUUAAUUAAAAAAGGUCGAUUUUUAAGUUUAUGAAGUUAAUACACUCACGCUUAUACUUUAAUAUUUUUAUUAUUUGGCUUUUAGAAUAUUAACGUGUAAAUUACUUUUUUUUUUCAAGUGAAAUAAUUAUCACAUUUUGUCUUCUUAGUAUAUAUUUCUACCUUUUUGUUCCUAUAGAUAUUUCCUCAUUUCAUCUUUGGUACUAGAGCGUAGUAAAAAAACACAUGAUUAAAGAUAAAUAUGACAUUUUAACUAACAAAUUAAUUAUUUGUAUCUAAGAUCUAGCUCUAGUGGUAAAGAUCAAUUUUCAUCGAAUUCAAGUCUUGGGUUUGAAUUUAAAUGCAUGGGUAAGUUAAUAAUAAUAAUAAUAAUAAUAAUAAUAAUAAUAAUAUCAAAUUAACUAGCUUUAAUUUGCAAAGGUCUUAGAUAAUCAAUUCGCUUGUAAAAAUAUCAAAAUUUUUUUUAAUCAAUGAAAUUUUCAAGUCUCUAGUUUUAGCACAAGGAAUGAAUUAAAAGAGUAAUGAUAAAUAUUUUACAAUUUUAUCCCAAAUGAUAAGACAUGUCAUGUGUCAUGUAUUAAGUGAUUGAUGAUUUUUUUAUAAAUUUUAAGUGGAUGAAAUAUAUUAUUUCACCAACCAGUAAAUGAAUAUGACAUCAUUUGAGAAGGAAUUUUAUGGUACAAUUUUGAAAUAUUUAUCACUACUCAAUUAUAUACAGUAUAAAAAAUCUAAUAGGGACCAAAAAUAUAAAAACAGAUUAAGAAUAAAAAAUAUAAAAGUCAAUUCCUAAUUAGGAGAAUGAAAGUGUCAUUCCCCUGUAAUCAUUUCACUAGAUAUUAUGUAAAUAUAUUAAGGCAAAAUUUUAAUAGAAAAUUGGUACCCAAACCUAACGUCUUUGACAUUGCUGCCAAGAUCACUCACAACUUACAAGAAUAAAAAAUUGGUAUUAAAUUUAUUAAUGUUCUCAAGGAAUUUUUAGCUUGACUUUACAUUUCUCGGACCCAUUUGUCACAUAACACCUUAGUUCGUUAACAAAGCCCUUUCAUGAGAAUAUUAGAACUGCUGUCGAAUAAGCAUCUUAACAACCCCUUUUUGACAUACAUGCAUGCCUCCUUCUGUGAACAAUUUGAAACAUAAAAUAAAAUUUCAAUCGAUGUGAGGGUUGGAGUAUUUUAUAGCUUUUGACCUCAUUAAUUAUGAGUAAGAGAAUAUUUCUACGUCACUAAUGGUUAAAAUGAUCACUAUAUAAAGGGUAGCAAAGUAUGUUUAACAUCAAGUCAGAAAACACAAUUUUUAGGAAAUGGGAACUCGGGGACAAGCGAGGCAAUGGCCUCAAUUGUUUUGUGCUAUAGCAUUUUUGCUUAUAACCACCACCACCAAGGCAUCGGCUGAUGAUUAUGCCUCAGCACCACCACCAAAGUAUUCUUCUCCACCUCCUUACUACUACAAAUCACCACCUCCUCCUUCUCCCUCUCCACCUCCACCAUAUUAUUACAAGUCUCCCCCACCACCAUCUCCGUCUCCUCCACCACCUUACUACUACAAGUCACCACCACCACCAGUGCAUUCUCCCCCGCCACCUUAUUACUACAAAUCUCCGCCGCCACCAAAGUAUUCUCCCCCGCCACCUUAUUACUACAAAUCUCCACCGCCACCAAAGCAUUCUCCCCCACCACCUUACUACUACAAAUCUCCACCGCCACCAAAGCAUUCUCCUCCACCACCUUACUACUACAAAUCUCCACCACCACCAAAACACACCUUACUAUUAUAAAUCACCACCUCCACCAAUGAAGUCUCCACCUCCGCCAUAUUACUAUAAAUCACCACCACCACCAAAGCAUUCUCCCCCGCCACCUUACUACUACAAGUCUCCACCACCACCAAAACAUUCCCCACCACCACCUUACUACUAUAAGUCACCGCCUCCACCAGUAAAGUCUCCACCACCGCCCCCAAAGCAUUCUCCCCCACCACCUUAUUAUUACAAAUCACCACCUCCACCAGUGAAGUCUCCACCUCCGCCACCUUACUAUAAAUCACCACCACCUCCAAAGCAUUCUCCCCCUCCACCUUACUAUUAUAAAUCACCACCUCCACCAAUGAAGUCUCCACCUCCGCCAUAUUACUAUAAAUCACCACCACCACCAAAGCAUUCUCCCCCGCCACCUUACUAUUAUAGAUCUCCACCACCACCAAAGCAUUCUCCCCCACCACCUUACUACUAUAAGUCACCACCUCCACCGAAGAAAUCCCCACCUCCACCAUAUUAUUAUAAGUCGCCACCACCACCAAAGCAUUCUCCCCCACCUCCUUAUUAUUACAAAUCUCCACCACCACCAAAGUAUUCUCCACCACCACCUUACUAAUACAAAUCUCCACCAACGCUAUCUCUAUCCCCACCUCCAUCUUACAUUUAUAAAUUCCCACCUCCACCAUCUAUAUCACCUCCACCACCACCUCCAUCACUGUCACUAUUGCCUCGCUACUGUUCCAAGUCAUCACCACCUCCUGAAGACUACUAAGUUCAAUGUUCCGUCUUCAAACAAAUUUAAAAUUCAAUAAGAAUAAAUUUGUUCCUUCAGUUGCCUUUUUCAUGAAUUUUUAUGUUAAUGUUUUUACGAAUAAUUUUUAAGAAGCGUUCGGUGUAUCAUUGUCAUGUGCAAUAAAAAUUUUCUAACUUAAUGUACCCAAAAAAAAAUGUUCCACAAGAAAUAUUCUAUUGUUUUAUCACAAAUGUGUUGUGGCACAUGUAAUGCGCCUAGAUAAAGUAAUAUUAUGUCUUGAUGAACAAUCAUGCACAACAAUGAUCAUGUACAUAGUUCUUCCAAUGUCAUGAUAAUGUCCAUGCACAUAAUAACAAACUUCUUCCUUGUAAUAUCAAAGAAAAUGAAUAUACAAGCCUCUUAUUCUCUAAUCAUUCACUCAAACAACAUUGUUUUAAUUUAGGUUUUGAUCAAUCUUAAUGCUCAUAAAUGCUAACUACAAAUCAUAUACAAGAUCAACAAAAACCAUAUUUUAAAUGAAUUAGAAAAACAAACAUUAGACUUAACCAAGUAGUUAACCUUUAUUAUUCUCCUAGGUAGAUUACAAGCUAUCACUGAAAAAAAAAAUCAUCUAAAAUGGUGAACAAAUGCGCUCUAAAUCAGUUGCAUUCAUUUGUUCAGCUAAGCAAUAAAAUAACCCUUUUCCAUUUUAACUUAUAUACUUUGGCAUGGUAACUUUAAAUAACACCCUCAACUUGACAAAUUUUAAUAACCAAAGCGAUCAAUAACUGUAAAUCUUGACAAAAUUUUUUACUUUAGUUAAAGCCAUAAACAUAGUAUUAAAUAAAAUGAAAAAAAAGGCCAUAAACAUAGUGUUGAAAUACCUUUAUACUUGUGAACUAACUUUUGAUGUUGAUUAAGCUCAUGUACCCUCAACUUUUGUAUUAUGAAUAUGCUUAUGCCCUAUCUUAGGUCUCCUCUAUGAACUCCUCCAUGAACCACUUUUUUUUUUUUUUUUAAAAAAUAAAUUCAUUAUGAUACUAAGGUAUAAGCAGAAGUAAAAUUCCUUUAAUAUUAUUGUAAUCAGGAUGUGGCUACCUAGGUGAUACAUGAAUUGGUUAUUUGUACAUUUUACUACAUUUUUUUGAGUUUGCUUGCUAUUUUUCUCUUUGUUCCAAUAAUUCCCACACGAGGAUAAUCUCAUUUUAACAAAGAAAGAUACUACUGAAAUACAACAAAACAUAAAUUCUAAUAUACUAGAAAAUUUUUUUUUCUUUGCCUUUUCAUAUCUUAGAGUUAUGUUUUUAUCCUCUUGUAGUGGCAUAUAUGCAUUUUAACUAGAAUAUUCUUAUUUGAGAAUUAUUAAUAAGAGAGUGGUAGACAAAUGAUACAAAACUAUGCUGCUUCACGAUUAACAACACAUUCAAUCGAGUAACGAUAGAGAGUCAAUUCUAACACCACGAGAAAGCAAACAAAAGUUGAAAUAUUUUAGCGAAUACCUUUUAAAGUUUGAAUUAAUAAUAAAAUUGUCCCAAAAAACUGCCUUAAUGGAAUUAAUGUGGAGAUUUAGUGGUAGGGUGCAUCAAUAUCAUUUUCCAGAAAAAAAAUAGUCAAAAUAUGAAAGGUUUGUUCUGCAGGUGGUUGAUAUUGCUGUACAUUAAUAUCAAUGAUACGUACCAAAUUCUAUUAUAAAAUUCAUUAAUGUAUAAGUAGAAUAUUUAAUAAAUUAAUUCCGGGUAAAACGUCGGUGAUAUGAACAGUAGCGAAGCUGCAACCGGGUUAGCUUUUUUUUUUAAUAAAAAAAUAGUUAAUUAUAAUUUAUGAAUUUGCCUUUAUUAAUACUUAAAAAAAUAAAAAUAAAUUUAAUAGCCCACCCCGAUGCUAGCUAAGCUAAAAAUAAAAUAUAUCGAAUAAAUGGUGAAGAGAAAGCUGUAAUAAUUAUCGUAAUUACAGUGAGAAGCUGUAAUUUUCUUGAACACGCUUUGACGUACGAUUAGCAAAAAAGUCGUCUGUCUAUAAGCAAUUGGCCGUACAGCAUCUUAACUAUUCCGUUGACAUUGUAAUUAAUUAAUUGAUGACUUUUCUAUAAUUUCUUUGAACCAAAUGCAGAUAUUUAGUGGGCAACCCGCAACCCUUGCUUGGCAAAAUAUAGGAAAGAAAAACUUGAAAUUUAUAAAUGUUACAUUUUGUUUGGAUGAAUAAUUUUGAGAUAAUGUUUCAGUUUUAGAUUUUGUUACCGAUACCUAAUUAUAAUAAUAAAAAAUAUUGCAUCAUUUUUUUACCAACAGUUACAAUACAUUUUAUUUUUUUUUCUUCUCAAUAUUUAAACUCGAAUAAUCAGUUAAAAGUUGCUCGAGAAUGUUUAAAAGCCAUUUAAGUAUACCACGUCAUUCAUGUUUUGCAAUCAUUCAAUUGUUAAUAAGUUUCCCAUGUGCUGAAAAUAAAUAAAAAUGCACGUGCAUAUGUCAUAUUGUCUCCGAAACCUCACAGCGGAAUGAGUGUAGUACUUGCAAUGCAUGUACUUUAGACUUUGUAUUUCUCUUAUUUAAAUGAUCAAUAAUUUUUCUUUGUCCUUUAAUUAGACGUCAACAGUCGAAGUUGUGGGCAAGUAGUAGGCUAUAUAUAAUAAUUUCCUGGAGAUCUUCCGUCUUCUAAGACAUUGCAAAUGCCAAACGUGAUAACUAUUUUGAUAAUUCAAAUACUACAUAAAAUAUAUGAAGUGUCAGACAAGUCAAAAGAAUUGAUUCUUCACAAUUGUAUAUACGUAUACACACACUUUGCCCAAAUCCCAUUGUAUCCAGGCUGUAAUUUUUAUAUUAAACGAACAUAUUUUAUUUUAUGUCAGCAAUAUUGAUGCAGGCUGGUGGAACAACAGCUUCAGGAUGGUCAACUACCCUUCGGAUCAUUGCAAGUGGGAUGGCAUCACUUGCAAUUCAGAUGGAACCAUAAUCGGGCUAAAAUUAUCAGGGUAUGAUGUUGACUUCAAAAGGUAGUCUUCGUAAAAUUAUCAUGGUAUAAUAUACGUAUUUAUUUUCGCAUACAUAAAUAAAUAACAAAAUUGUAAUUAAUUGGAUACAACUUCAGCUUUUGGACUGGUUUGUGAAAAUCGGAAAAAUUUAAAAAUGCUCCUCUUGAACAAUCAAAAUCUACUUUAUACGUGAACAAAGGGGAUGAUUCGUAAAGAUAAUUCAUCAAUGUUUGAUUACUUUCAGAAAGAUAGACUUCAUUUGAUCUCGUCCCAAAGCAUAAUUUCACUUUGAAUUUGAAAAAGAAUAAUGAAGUUCAUACGAUGCUGUUGUGACCUUUUUUUUUUGUUUUCUUUUUUUCUCGACGUUGUUUUGUGAAUCAUAAGGGUUAAUUUAGUACGGUGGGUUCGCUUGUAUGAAGCGUACUUAUUGUACCAUUCUGUUGCAAGUAAUGAAAAAACGCUAUAAUUUUUUUUAGGUUUCUACAAGUAUUAUGUUAUCUUAUAUCUAACUGUGCAUCUCUAUUCUUUGCUCUCAGUUCAGGUUCUCUAAAAGUAUAUUAAUUAUGAAAAGCAUUAAAGGUUCCGAAACUCUAUUUUGCGGGGAAAAAGAACCUCCAUUUUUGGUUUUUUAUUAUCAUAAGAGGUUUUACUAUGCUCGUAAUAACUUAAUCGAAAUUAAACAUAUCACUGGUCUACAUUUUUUUAUCAGAUUUUGUGCCUUGCUAAUUAAGAUGAGUAUCACCAUCAAAUCAACAAGCUUAUACCUUCAAAGAAAAAUAGACUAUAAGUCGGGAGAAAGAAGAAGAAAAAAAAAAAGAAGCUUCGCAAUUUAUGCUGUUGGUUGUGAGUUCAUGAAACAAAUAAAAAUAUGAAAUCAAACAUUUAUUCAAAAUUUAAAAUUAAAAAAAAAACUCUAUAUCUACAGUAAUCUGUUCAAACCACAUAGGUGGAGCAAUAUAGUUCCAAGACGUGGUUUUAAAACAUGUCUUUGUGAUAAACAAUAUCGUGAUACUUGCGCCAAUUCCCAUGGCAAUAAUUGCCUACAUUUAUCCAAGAUCCAUGGCCAGGUUUAGAAUGUGCUAGUCUUCUUUCACUUUCAUAAAUAACCACUACUAGGUAAUCAGAGUGUCGGUCUAAAUUUUUCGGAGAUACAACGUCAAUGUAUGUGCCCGGAGUUGAAGCUGAACGCGCUUAAAUAUGUUCGGAAUUUGAAGUUGAACGCCUGGAAAAGGAUGCAGACUGAAGAAAGGCAAUUCCUGGAAUUUGUCUUUGGUAAGAAAACAUGGCUGCUUAUGCCCUUUGAAAGACUGAAGAAACCAAAUUGAUUAUUGCUGCAAUUUAGUGGCACAUGUACGAGGAGAGGCAUCCAAUUAAACUUGUUCAUAAAAGUAUUGCUGAUAGUUGCAGCCGAUCUCCAGACAAAAUCUUCGUACAAUUUUAUCCGCCAGCAAUUUCGACCAAGAGACCUUGAUGCAGUUCAGACCAAUUCGCCAGUUGAACAUCAAGUUGCCUAGGCAUUGAGAAUUAGGUCAAUAAAAUAUAUCCUGGGUCACUUACAAAAGAUGAAAUAAGUGAAAAAGGAAAGAUGACGUAAUAAUUUCUUAGUGAGAAAAGUUAGUUAAUUUUCAAUUGCUUUCAUUGUUUUGAUAAUUUUCAAAACAUUUCAUUGCUUUCAUUGCGUAAUUAAGCUUUUUUUGCUUCAAAAUAUUUCAAAUUGUGUUUGUGGGACUACUAAACAAUUAGGACACAACAAUGUUUCGUUCUGGUCUUUUUUUUUUUUUACUUUUUAAUUUAUUUUAAGAAAAUCUUUGUCCAUCUCUCAUCCUGCCAAAUAUAUCGUCUCGUCUUGUUAUCUAGAAUAAUUCUUCAUGCAUCAAUGAGUUUUGACAAAUUUUUAUCUUUUAAAAGUUGUUGUAAUUCAAUAUAGCUAAAAUCUUAAAUACAUACAUGUAGAAUAAUCUAAGCAUUACCUUAUUCGGGGAAAAUCGAGAUUAGAAUCAAUCAAAGCAAUGAUACCUUAUAUCAGUGAGAUAUAUGCAAGACUCACCCAUUGGUACAAACGAAAAUGAUCAAAGUGGAAGCAAAAAUGGAAUCCUCAAAUGUGGUGAUAAUUUAGAUGAUCUCCACUCUCCAUUUGGUUUCAUCUAAUAAGUUAGUGUUUAAUUAAGAAUUUAUUACUCAUUUUAUUAUGAUAUUAAUCAACUGCCGUCCCUUCCAUUAGUUCAUUAUUUUUGAUGGAUUACGAAAGACAGACAAUAAAAUUCUCCAAAACUGUUGUAAGAGUAAUAUUGUAAAAGUUACAUAAAAGUGAGGAUAAGGAUAAUUUGAGGUAUGUUUCAAGAUAUAAAGAUUAAAUAAAUUCUUAACUCAAAAUAAAGAGAUUUAUUUUUUUUAAAAGAGAUUAAAAUGUCAUGAUAAAUAAAUAAGGGAGGUGAUAUUCUGGGCUCUCCCCUGGCUUUUUGUGAUAACAUCUUAAAUUAAUAUAAAUAGUUAAAAUUUUAUUAAAAAAUAAAUUUUUACCUAAUACUCUUUGACAUAGCUAGGAAUAUAGCCUACUUGCAAGAGACUUACAUUCGUUUGCACAGCCCUUUCGUGAAUAUAAAAUUGCUGCCGAAUAAGCAUCUAAUUAAAAGAAUUAGGAAUUUGUCAACGGUAUAAAUUAAAUAUAAAAAACGAGUAAAAGAAUUUGUCAAUGGGAUAUGGGGGGCUAUGGCUUCAAUCGUAGGGGUGGGCAAAUUUCGGAUUCCGAAUCCGAUCGGAUUUUGGAUAAUUCGGAUUGGGAAAAAAUCCAUCCAAAUUCAAUCCGAACCUUAAAUCUGUUUCGAUCCGAGAUAAUUUCGGAUCCGGAUCAGAUUCGGAUGAGUUUGAAUUUCAGAUUAUAUUUCAAGUUCGGAUUAUAUUUUGGAUUCGGAUUAAUUCGGGUUUGGGACCUUUUUACAAUUCUCACAAAAAAAUUAUGAAAUUUAUAAUUAAUGAAAAAUAAUUUCCAUGAUGCUGUCAACAAUAAUUAAUAUUUUGAAAACGCAAUAACGGAAUUUUCAAAAAAAAGAAAAAGAAAACACAGGAACGGUAUUGAUAAAGAAUUUUCAUUAGCCAUUUGUGACUGCUAACUAAAUUGUAACAACUAAGUAAAAUAUAAUAAUAAUAAUAAUACAUGCGGGUAUAUUCAAAGCAACUAAAUCACUUGCGAAUGAUCAAGACAAAUCGUAUAAACAAGUAAAAAAUUCAAAGUUUCAAACGCAAAUCGUCGGGGGCUAUCGGAUUAGUGGAUUACCAUUAACAAGACGAGGUUUAUGUCGGUGUGAGUUGCUCAUUGUGGGUCUGGAUGAUGUCGCGAUGGCUGGGUUUGUGCCAACUAUGAUCCAGCUAGGUUUGUAUCGAAUCUGAUCUCGUCUAGAGGACGUUGUGGCGGCUGGGUUUGUGUCGAAUUCAUUCGGUUUGUCUCGUCGGCGACAUGGUUGUUGGUUGGCUCGUCAGGUUGUGGCCCGUGGGUGUGGUGUGGUUUGUUGUCGUGGAUUGACUUAUCAAAGGGCGUGCGACGAUGGUGUGUGGUUUUGUCAUUUGGAAAUUGAGUUUUGAUUUUUCAUUUUCGUUUUUUUAAAAAAAAAUUUUUGGAUUAUUCGGAUUGAACUGAAUCUUAUCCGAUCCAAAUCAAAUCCGAUCAGAUUACAAAAAUUUCAUCCGAUUGGAUUUUAAAGCAAAUCCAAAUCCGAUCCGAACAAAUUCGGAUCGAAUUGGAUUAGAUCGGAUCUAUCCGAAUCUGAUCCAAUGUCCACCCCUAUUCAAUCGGUUUCUGCAAUGGUUAAUGGCAUAUUUUUGCUCAUCGUCACCACUGCAUUCACUAAUCAUUUGUGCACGUGAAUUGUUUUUGAGCAUUUAUUUUGCCUUCGUUAAAAUUGGGCAUGUAAAAAUUUCAUGAAAAAUGGCCAAAGUGGCUGGCUAGGUGAUAUAAUGGAUGGUUACAACUCAAACCUAGCAAUAAAUGAAUGUCCGACAAGCAUUCAAAUGAAUGUAUAAAACCAAUGAGAUUAGAAUAUCUAUUUAUAAUAGACUAAUUAAAAUACGAUUCAAAUAUAAGGUAAAUAGUCUCUCUAUUAAUUUUUUAUUGUUUCAGGUAGGGUUGUCGAGCCUUUGUCCGGGCUUCUGUAAGCCCAUUUCCAGCCCUCUUAUAUGAUUGGAUUAGAUCAGGCUCGGCCCACCAGGCCGGGCUAAAUCUUGAGCUCUUUUUAAAUAAAAAAAAGUUGAAUUUUAAGUUUUUGAAGUUAAUAUAUAUACACACACACUUGUACUUAAAUAAUUUAUAAAUUUUUUAAAAGCCAAAUAAUAAAAAUAUUGACAUGUAAAAGUACAAUUUUUUUUUCAUGUGGAAUAAUUAUCUCAUUUCUACCUUUUUGGUCCUAUAGAUAUUUCCUCAUUUCAUCUUUGGUAUUAGAGCAGUAGUAAAAAGACACACGAUUAAAGAUAAAUGUGACAUUUUUACCGACAAAUUAACUAUUUGGAUCUAAGAUCUAGCUCUAAUGGUAAAGACUAGUUUUUAUAGAAUUCAGGUCCUGGGUUUGACUUCCAAUUGCGUGGGUAAGCUAAUAAUAAUAAUAAUAAUAAUAACAAAUUAACUAGUUUUAAUUUGCAAAGGUCUUAGAUAAUCAAUUCGUUUGUAAAAACAUCAAAUUUAUUUUCAGUAAUGAAAUUUUCAAGUCACUGGUUUUAGCACUAGGAAUGAAUUAAAUAGAGUAAUGAUAAACAUCUUAAAAUUUUAUCCCAAAUGAUAUGACAUGUAAUGUGUCAUUUAUUAAGUGGUUGGUGAUUUUUCAUAAAUUUUAAGUCGAUUAAUUAUAUUAUUUCACCAACCAAUAAAUGAACAUCACAUCAUUUGAGAAUGAAUUUUAAGGUAAAAUUUUAGAUAUAUAUCAUUACUCAAUUAUUUUUUAUAGUAUAAAAUCUAAUAGGGACCAAAAAUAUAAAAACCAAUUAAGAAAAAAAAAGUCAAUUCCUAAUUAGAAGAAUGAAAGUGUCAUUCUCCUAUAAUCAUUUCUCAAGUUUUUAUAUAAAUUUAUUAAUGCAAAAUUUUAAAAGAAAAUCGGUACCUAAAACUAACGCCUUUGACAAUGCUGCCAAUAUCACUCACAACUUACAAGAAUAAAGAAUUUGUAUUAAAUUUAUUAAUGUUCUCAAAGAAUUUUUAGUUUUGACUUUACAUUCUCAGACCCAUUUGUCACAUAACAUCUUAGCUGAUUAACAAAGCCCUUUCGUGAGAAUAUUAAAACUGCUCUCGAAUAAGCAUCUUAACAACCCCGUUUUUGACAUACAUGCAUGCCUCCUCAUGUCAGCAAAUUUGAAACAUAAAAGAUAAUUUCAAUCGAUGUGAGAGUUGGGAGUAUUUUAUAGCUUUUGACCUCAUUAAUUAUGAGUAAGAGAAUAUUUCUACGUCACUAAUGAUUAAAAUGAUCACUAUAUAUAUAAAGGGUAGCAAAGUAUGUUUAACAUCAAGUCAGAAAACACAAUUUUUAGGAAAUGGGAACUCGGGGACAGGCGAGGCAAUGGCCUCAAUUGUUUUGUGCUAUAGCAUUUUUGCUUAUAGCCACCACGACCAAGGCAUCGGCUGAUGAUUAUGCCUCAGCACCACCACCAAAGUAUUCUUCUCCACCUCUUUACUACUACAAAUCACCACCUCCUCCUUCUCCCUCUCCACCUCCACCAUAUUAUUACAAGUCUCCCCCACCACCAUCUCCGUCUCCUCCACCACCUUACUACUACACGUCACCACCGCCACCAGUGCAUUCUCCCCCGCCACCUUACUACUACAAGUCACCACCGCCACCAGUGCAUUCUCCUCCGCCACCUUACUACUACAAAUCUCCGCCGCCACCAAAGCAUUCUCCCCCGCCACCUUACUACUAUAAGUCACCACCACCACCAGUGCAUUCUCCCCCGCCACCUUAUUACUACAAAUCUCCGCCGCCACCAAAGUAUUCUCCCCCGCCACCUUAUUAUUACAAAUCUCCGCCGCCACCAAAGCAUUCUCCUCCACCACCUUACUACUACAAAUCUCCACCACCACCAAACCAUUCUCCCCCACCACCUUACUACUAUAAGUCACCACCACCACCAAAGCAUUCUCCCCCACCUCCUUAUUACUACAAAUCUCCACCACCACCAAUGUAUUCUCCACCACCACCUUACUAAUACAAAUCUCCGCCAUCGCCAUCUCUAUCCCCGCCUCCAUCUUACAUUUAUAAAUUCCCACAACCAUCAUCUAUACCACCUCCACCAUGACCUCUAUCACGGUCAUUAUUGCUUCCUUACUACUCCAAGUCACCGCCAACUCCUUUAUCUCCACCUUCACCGUAUUACUACAAUCACCCCCACCUCCCAAAGACUACUACGUUCAGUAUCCCUUCUUGAAACAAGUUUAAAAUUCAAUAAGAAUAAAUUUGUUCCUUUGGUUGCCUUUUUUUUUAAUUUUUUACUAAGUUCAAUGCCCCUUCUUGAAACAAGUUUCAAAUUCAAUAAGAAUAAAUUUGUUCCUUUGGUUGCCUUUUUAUGCUUUUUUGUGUCAAUUUUUUUACAAAUAAUUUGUAAGAAGCGUUCAGUGCAUCAUUUGUCAUGUGCAAUAAAAAUCUUCUAACUUAAUGUAUCCCCAAAAAAAAAAAAAAAAAUUGUUCUAUAAGAAUUAUUCUAUUGUUUUAUCACAAAUGUGUUGUGGCGCAUAUAAUGCUCCCGGAUGAAGUAAUAUUAUGUCUUGAUGAACAAUCAUGCACAACAAUGAUCAUGUACAUAGUUCUUCCAACGUCAUGAUAAUGUCCAUGCACAUAAUAACAAACUUCUUCCUCAUAAUAUCAAAGAAAAUGAAGAUACAAGCCUCUUAUUCUUUAGUCAUUCACUCAAACAACAUUGUUUUAACUUAGGUUUUGAUCAAUCUUAAUGCUAAUAAAUGCUAACUACAUAUCAAAUACAAGAUCAACAAAAACCAGAUUUUAAAUUAAUCAGAAAAACAAACACUAGACUUAACCAAGCAGUUAAGCUUUAUUAUUCUCCCUCAGUAAAGGAUACAAAGAUGUAGGUGGAUUACAAGCUAUCACUGAAAAAAUAGAAAUCAUCUAAAAUGGUGAACAAAUGAGCUCUAAAUCUGUUGCACUCAUUUGUUCAACUAAGCAAUGAAAUUACCCUUUUCUAUUUUAACUGCUUGUCUACUUUAACACGGCAACUUUAAAUAACAACCUUCAACUUGAAAAAUUUGAGUAACCAGAGCCAUCAAUAACGGUAAAUCUUGACAAAAAUUUUAGUUUAAUUAAGGCCAUAAACAUAAUAUUAAAUAAUAAAAAAAAAAGGCCAUAAACAUAGUGUUGAAAUACCAUUAUACCUGUGAACGAACUUUUGAUGGUUAUUAAACUCAUGAACCCUCAAUUUUUGUAUUAUGAAUAUGCUCAUGGCCUAUCUUAGGUCUCCUCUAUGAACCACUUUUUUUUUAAAAAAAUUAUAUUCAUUAUGAUACUAAGGUAUAAGUAGAAGUAAAGUUCUUUUAAUAUUUUUGUAACCAGGAUGUGACAACCUAGGUGAUACGUGAAUUGGUUAUUUGCACAUUUUGCUACAUUUUUGUGAGUUUGCUUGCUGGUUUUCUCUUUGUUCCAACAAUUCACACAUAGGAUAAUCUCAUUUUAACAAAGAAAGAUACCACUAAAAUACAACAAAACAUGAUCAAUUCUAAUAUACUAGAAAACUUUUUUUUUUUGUUUGCCUUUUCAUAUAUUAGAGUUGUGUUUUUGUUAUCUUAUAGUGGCAUCUAUGCAGUUUAACUAAAUGAGAAUAUUCUCAUUUGAGAAUUAUUAAUAAGAGAGUAGUAGACAAAUGAUACCCAACUAUACUGCUUCACUAUUAACAACACAUCCAAUUGAGUAAUGAUAGAGAGUCAAUUCUAUCACCAAAUGAAAGCAAACAAAAGCUGAAAUAUUUUAGUGAAUAUCUUUAAAGUUUGAAUUAAUAAUAAAAUUGUCCCAAAAAACUGUCUUAAUGGAACUAAUGUGCGAUUUAUUUGUAGGGUGAAUAAAUAUCAUUUUCCAGAAAAAAAUAUAGUCAAAAUAUGGAAAGCUUGUUCUGCAAGUGGUUGAUAUUGAUGUACAUUAAUGUCAAAGAUACAUUAAGUGCAUGCCAAAUUCUAUUAUAAAAUUUAUAAAUGUAUAAGUAGAAGAUUUUAUAAAUUAAUUCCUGUAAAACGUCGGUUAUAUGAAUAAAUGGUGAAGAGAAAGCUGUAAUAAUUAUCGUAAUUACAAUUUUCUUGAGCACGCUUUGACGUACGAUUAACAAAAAAGGUCUGUAUAUGAGCAAUCGGCCGUACAUUAUCUUAACCACCUGAUUUUGUUUUUUUUUUUUGUAAUUUCAAUCUUGGCCGUUGGAGUCAAUGAAAAGAUCGUUCAAAUGGUAGAGAUUUGUCUAUUUGAUUAUUAACAUUAUGCUUCCCGAUGGUUAUCAAAAACCCAAACAAAUUAAAGAGUUAAAACUUUUAGCACAUAAGUCCGAAUUGUUUCAAAUUUAUGUUGUUUAAUCACUAGUGAGUCUCAAAAAAUAAAUUUAUUUUAAUAUUAUAUAUUUUAUUUAAAAGAAUUAAUUUUUUAUAUCAUUUAUUUUAUUAAAAAUAAAUAUUAUUGAAUACUAAUUAUUCUCAUUUUAUUUAAUAUUAUUUAGUUAUAGGCUUAUUAUUAUAUUUAAUUGUUCAAAAAACUAAAAAAAUUUAAAUAAAAUAAAGUAAUUGAUGGUUGUCGAAGCCAACAAAAAUAAAUUCCUACUCUAAAUAAAUUGUGUAUAGUGAUUGAGCAGGGUCGUGUCCACAGAGAUCGGUAAUUAUUUAAAUCCUUUUGAAACGUAAAACGUAAAAUGGGGGAAUUGUUGACAAUAAUAAAAAUCAAAUUAAAAUAACAAGAAUGCAAAUUAAAGUUGUAAUUCAAAUUGGAGAAAGCUCUGGUUGAAGGAAUUAACUCAGCUUGAUUCGACUACUGAUCAUUGAUUCAAAUAUAGAUUAUUAUUACUCAUGAAUAGACCGGUUAUAGCUACUGAGACCCUCUAAUAGCCAAUCUCUCCUUAACUAGUCGAUAACCAAGGUACGACCGUUGGAUAUUCCCUAAUCAAUAGACAACCCUAGAUACGAUCAUAGAAUUUAAUCAAUUGACAGCCUGAAAAACCAGAAAGACCCAAAUCCUAAUCAACACAUAUGAUGAUUCAUUUAAAUUAAAUUGUUUAUUCUCACAACACAACUCUCUGCUAUGUCAUUUGUCACAAACAUUAAAUUCUUCAUACGAUGAAUCCCUUAAUUGACAAUAGAUUAAGUUGAUAAUUAAAUAGUGGCCAACUGCUGUACGGCCAAGGCGGAUGUACGGUACAGCAGAAUACAUUCCCUUACUCAACUAACAAAGUCUUUCAUUUAUCUGAAAACAGUUCCAAUUUUGAAAUAUCAGUGUCAAACUUUUCCCAGCAACAUAUUUAUCAUCUCUCCACAUUAUCCUUAACUGACAGCAGCUUGGAAGAUCUUCAAUCAGCAAGUUCAGAAAGCAAUGAACAAGUACCUUCUGUUUCUGCACACACAAAUAAUCUGCAUCAACAAGAGCAUUCUNNNNNNNNNNNNNNNNNNNNNNNNNNNNNNNNNNNNNNNNNNNNNNNNNNNNNNNNNNNNNNNNNNNNNNNNNNNNNNNNNNNNNNNNNNNNNNNNNNNNNNNNNNNNNNNNNNNNNNNNNNNNNNNNNNNNNNNNNNNNNNNNNNNNNNNNNNNNNNNNNNNNNNNNNNNNNNNNNNNNNNNNNNNNNNNNNNNNNNNNNNNNNNNNNNNNNNNNNNNNNNNNNNNNNNNNNNNNNNNNNNNNNCAGCAGAAUAAAAUAUUAUUAAUUUUAUUUUUUUUAUUUUGCUAUCUUACUAAUAAUUGGCAAUAAUAAUAAUAAUAAUAAUAAUAAUAAUAAUAUCUUUAAGGUUAAUGAUUUUAUUUUCUAAUUAAUAUGGAUAAUUUUAGAUUUUUAUAAUAUAUAUGACGAUAAACACGAAAUUAAGUAUAAAACUAAUUCUCAAAAUCCGAUUUUAAAAAUCUACUUUUUCCCUACUUUUUAAAAUCUUCAGUAAGAUAAGGUAAAUUUACCAAAAGUGAUUUCUGAAAAUAUUUAUCAAAUAAUAAAAUUAAUUUGUAACUUUUCAAAAUAACUUUUAAAUCUCGCAAAAAAAAAUCCUAAAUGAGUCCUAAGUACCUAACUUUAUGACGGUCAACAAAUAUGGUAUAAAAGUCUUCUACACCUACUGGGCAUUUGAAUGGGCCAUCUGUCUUAGCUCUUACCUCUUAAAAUGGGCUAAAAAUCAGAGAGUCAGUUAACUAAUAUGGGCUAAAAUUUGGGUACACCUCUCGGGCAUGUUAAUGGGCCAUCAUCUUUCACAGGUUUCUAAAGGGUAAAGGCUUUCUGUCUCCCAAGACUUCGACUAGUGAAAUUUAAUCGAUAUAAAUAUGUAGCUACCUAUAUUUAUAUAAGAAAAUGAUGUUCUCAUAAAUUUGCGUGCAAAGAUUUGCACAAAACGGUGCGUUUUGUGCAGCUUUAAAAAUGCUCUUCGUACGUGCACCAAACAACACACAAGCACGCCAAUUCACAACAUCAUUUUCCCACUCGCGUCUGCCUCCUUUCACUGCAACAAAAACCCAGCAGCUUCGUUCUCCACACAGCAAGAAGUCUCCUUAUUAAUAUAAUAUUAUAUAAUAAACUCAACAGAAGUCUCCUUUCUUCCUCCAUUUUUCCUCACGAGAUAGCUCCGAUCUCUCUCCCUCCGUCCUCCUUUCUUCCUUACAAGACAGCUCGGGUCUCUCUCUCUGGCCUCCUUUCUCCCUCACAAGAUAGUUCGGAUCUCUCUUUCCAGUCUCCACGCCGCUAAUAGUCCCAGUUCUAACCUCUCUCGCCCCGCAGCAACCAUAAGAUCUCUCUCUCACCCGUUUCAAUUCAUUGCUCUAAUUGAAAUCUUUAACUCGUUUAGGACAUUGUGCUGAAUUACCUAUGGAUGGUGGUGGUCUUAUGCUUGAGUGUUGUAAAUUAGAAUCAAAUUAUGCAAAACCUGAUGCCUUUGGGAAUCAUGUUUAUUUCAAGCUUCUAUGUUGUGAUUUGAUUAUUUGAUGAAGCACCUGGAAAAUGUAGUUUGCUCCCUCAAAUUAUUUUACUCUGUUGAAUAAAUUGUAUUUGCCAUUAUUUGAAAAGAAUUUAAAAAAAAAUUACAGCCCCGAAACAUUGAGCUUAUGCUAUAAUUUAAGCAUCUCCCUCAUUUAUAGCACAUUUAUUUUCAUAAUUUACGCGACAAUGGAGAACGGAGCCGAGACUGUUAGUGGCAUGGGGAUGAGAGAGAAAAAUAUGAGCUGUUUCGUGAGGUUUUGUUAGGUUUCGUGAGGGAGAAAGGAGAUGGGAGAGAGAGACGCUGAGUUUUGUUGCUCCCCUCACUUGUGUGUGUUUGGUGUUAAAACUUUGCAGCAAAGAGUGGCUUUUAUACUUUGCACAAAACGCACCGUUUUGUGCAAAGUUUUGUGCAAAGUGUUGUGAGAACAUCAUUUUCCAUUUAAAUAUUGGCUUUUCAUUUUUUUUCAAAUGAGAAUUGAUCCAGUGUGCACCAUCAUGCACAGCACAAGGUAUAUUUUCAUCAGUGGGCGCUAGGUCUCAUAGAUUGGUUCUCUCUAAUAAGAACAUGUCGUCUGUUGUCCCGCGCUAGAUCGAAUGCGUUUUCAAAUUUGUCAAAUUACAUUUUGAGCAUGUCAUAGUGGACGUUAUUACAAAGUCGUCAAUCUCAAUACAAUAAUCAUGACAUCAGGUUUUGAGAAUGUGAAUAAAACUCAUAUUUAUUUGAUAAAAUAUAAUUUAAAAAUAAAAAUAAAAUAUGUAUAUUCUAUAUAAUUUGAUAAUAAAAAAUAGAAAUCUCAUUUUUAUAUUGGGUUGGGAAUGAGGAUUCCUAUUUCUUGAACUGACUUUUAUAUCUCUCUAUUUUUUUCAUAUUUUUUAAAUUAUUCUCGUUUAAAUCACAAUUAAUUUGAUUACUGCUGUACGGCCAAGGCGGAUGCAAUAGAAUUGCACCUACAAAAGUAAAACAUAAGUAAAUCACUAUUAUUAAGUGCAAAACAUUGAUAUUAAGGGAAGUAAAUAAUGCAAAACUAGUGCAUAAAUUGCACUCUAACAGUAAUCAGUAAUCAGCAUUAAAAAUUAAAUUAAAUUAAAUUUUUUUGUUUUUAAUAUUAUUUAGUUAUAGACUUAUUAUUAUAUUUAUUCGUUCAUAAAACUAAAUAAUGUUAAAUCAAAUAAAAUAAUCAGGAAUGGUUCUUAAAAAAUUAAUAUUAUUUAUUUUAUUUUAUUUAAUAUUAUUUAGUCAUAGCCUAUUAUUCUGUUUAUUUUUUGAAAAUUAAAUAAUAUUAAAUAAAAAUCCCCCCUUUUCACAAUAGAUUCCUCCCUUCAAUACUCUCUCUCUCCUCUCUUUUAGAAUUCUAUUUAAAAUAAAAUACUAAUAUCUGAAAUAUUAAAUUCGUAAUUACAAAAAUAACCAAAAAUACAAAAUACGUUAAACUAAAAACUGCAGGUCCGCAGUUGACAGCACGCGCCCACGCCUUAUCAACAAAGUUCUUCUGACGCUCAUAAUUUCUCCAAGAGAACAAUCAUCCUUAAACAUCAUCUUAUAGCUCAAUUUUAUCAUCAAUCAAUAGAAUUACACCUACAAAAGUAAAACACAAGUAAAACAUUAUUAUUAAGUGCAAAACAUCGAUAUUAAGGGAAGUAAACAAUGCAAAACUAGUGCAUAAAUUGCACUCUAACAAAUUCCCCCACACCAAGAUGAUGCUUGUCCUCAAGCAUAUAACUCAAGACUAAUCUCAAAUCUCCACUAAAUUCUCAUCUCAACUCAUCCAAAAAUAAUUUUAAGCAAGCAUACCUCAAGAAAUUAAGUCGAUCAACAUUCGAGAGACAAGGAUUUUUAAAGCAUAGAAUCUCAUAAGAUAGAAUAAGAACAUUCAACCACCAAGAAGAUCCAUUCAAAAUUCAAGUGCAACAAGAUGUAAUAGCCCUCUCAAUAACUUCACUCCAUGCACUCAAAGUGUUUAGGGUAUCAUUUAUGCACUCAAAUCAAAUCAAAGAAUGCUAUUACCAUAAGCUUGCUCAUAUAUCACAUCUCAAUCCACAAAACAUGAAUAAAAUGAAAAAAUCUAAGGGUCUUAAAAGGGUUGUAAUGGGGUUAAAUAGGUUAAAUGAAAAAGAAAGGUCUAUGAAAGAAAAAGAGAUCAAAAUGAGAAGAAUGAACUCAUUGAAUGAACUUAUGAUAUCAAAAUGCUCCUUGGCCGUACAGCAGGAAUGGUUCUUAAAAAAUUAAUAUUAUUUAUUUUAUUUUAUUUAAUAUUAUUUAGUCAUAGCCUAUUAUUCUGUUUAUUUUUUGAAAAUUAAAUAAUAUUAAAUAAAAUAGAAUAGAAAAUGUGAGUCCUUAAAAAUAAAAAUUAUUUUUAAUAUUAUUUAUUUUAUUUAAAAGAAUAAAUUUUUUAAUAUUUUUAUUUUAUUAAAAAAUAUUAUUUAAUAUUAUCUAGUCAUAGGCUUAUUAUUAUAUUUCUUCUUUUAGAAAGUUAAAUAGUAUUAAAUGAAAUAAAAUUACAUUUUAGAAGGUCAUUAGCCAAAGCACAUAAACUUAUAAACAAAUGGAAAUAAAAAAGGUAAAUAAUAUUCAAUAAAAUAAAAUUACAUUUUAAAAGGUCACCAACCAAAGCACAUAAUAUUAUAACAAAAAUGUAAAUAAAAAAGAAAGUAAGAGAUUCAAUGAAAUUUAACAUCACAAAAGACAAUUUCAAAAAUUGGGGGUAGCUUGCAACUGUUGCAAAGUGGCUGGUUCCAUAAUUUUGAGAUAAUGUUUCGGUUUCAAAUAUUGUUAUCGAUACCUAAUUAUAAGUAAUAAAAAAAUAUUGUAUAAUUUUUUUACCAACAUUUACAAUACAUUUUAUUUUGAUUUCUGAAAAAAAUAGAUAAAACACAAAUUAAUUAUUUUAACCCUCUAUUCUCUCAAUAUUUAAACUCGAAUAAUCAGUUAAAAGUUGCUCGAGAAUGUUUAAAAGCCAUUUAAGUAUACCACGUCAUUCAUGUUUUGCAAUCAUUCAAUUGUUAAUAAGUUUCCCAUGUGCUGAAAAUAAAUAAAAAUGCACGUGCAUAUGUCAUAUUGUCUCCGAAACCUCACAGCGGAAUGAGUGUAGUACUUGCAAUGCAUGUACUUUAGACUUUGUAUUUCUCUUAUUUAAAUGAUCAAUAAUUUUUCUUUGUCCUUUAAUUAGACGUCAACAGUCGAAGUUGUGGGCAAGUAGUAGGCUAUAUAUAAUAAUUUCCUGGAGAUCUUCCGUCUUCUAAGACAUUGCAAAUGCCAAACGUGAUAACUAUUUUGAUAAUUCAAAUACUACAUAAAAUAUAUGAAGUGUCAGACAAGUCAAAAGAAUUGAUUCUUCACAAUUGUAUAUACGUAUACACACACUUUGCCCAAAUCCCAUUGUAUCCAGGCUGUAAUUUUUAUAUUAAACGAACAUAUUUUAUUUUAUGUCAGCAAUAUUGAUGCAGGCUGGUGGAACAACAGCUUCAGGAUGGUCAACUACCCUUCGGAUCAUUGCAAGUGGGAUGGCAUCACUUGCAAUUCAGAUGGAACCAUAAUCGGGCUAAAAUUAUCAGGGUAUGAUGUUGACUUCAAAAGGUAGUCUUCGUAAAAUUAUCAUGGUAUAAUAUACGUAUUUAUUUUCGCAUACAUAAAUAAAUAACAAAAUUGUAAUUAAUUGGAUACAACUUCAGCUUUUGGACUGGUUUGUGAAAAUCGGAAAAAUUUAAAAAUGCUCCUCUUGAACAAUCAAAAUCUACUUUAUACGUGAACAAAGGGGAUGAUUCGUAAAGAUAAUUCAUCAAUGUUUGAUUACUUUCAGAAAGAUAGACUUCAUUUGAUCUCGUCCCAAAGCAUAAUUUCACUUUGAAUUUGAAAAAGAAUAAUGAAGUUCAUACGAUGCUGUUGUGACCUUUUUUUUUUGUUUUCUUUUUUUCUCGACGUUGUUUUGUGAAUCAUAAGGGUUAAUUUAGUACGGUGGGUUCGCUUGUAUGAAGCGUACUUAUUGUACCAUUCUGUUGCAAGUAAUGAAAAAACGCUAUAAUUUUUUUUAGGUUUCUACAAGUAUUAUGUUAUCUUAUAUCUAACUGUGCAUCUCUAUUCUUUGCUCUCAGUUCAGGUUCUCUAAAAGUAUAUUAAUUAUGAAAAGCAUUAAAGGUUCCGAAACUCUAUUUUGCGGGGAAAAAGAACCUCCAUUUUUGGUUUUUUAUUAUCAUAAGAGGUUUUACUAUGCUCGUAAUAACUUAAUCGAAAUUAAACAUAUCACUGGUCUACAUUUUUUUAUCAGAUUUUGUGCCUUGCUAAUUAAGAUGAGUAUCACCAUCAAAUCAACAAGCUUAUACCUUCAAAGAAAAAUAGACUAUAAGUCGGGAGAAAGAAGAAGAAAAAAAAAAAGAAGCUUCGCAAUUUAUGCUGUUGGUUGUGAGUUCAUGAAACAAAUAAAAAUAUGAAAUCAAACAUUUAUCCAAAAUUUAAAAUUAAAAAAAAACUCUAUAUCUACAGUAAUCUGUUCAAACCACAUAGGUGGAGCAAUAGAGUUCCAAGACGUGGUUUUAAAACAUGUCUUUGUGAUAAACAAUAUCGUGAUACUUGCGCCAAUUCCCAUGCCAAUAAUUGCCUACAUUUAUCCAAGAUCCAUGGCCAGGUUUAGAAUGUGCUAGUCUUCUUUCACUUUCAUAAAUAACCACUACUAGGUAAUCAGAGUGUCGGUCUAAAUUUUUCGGAGAUACAACGUCAAUGUAUGUGCCCGGAGUUGAAGCUGAACGCGCUUAAAUAUGUUCGGAAUUUGAAGUUGAACGCCUGGAAAAGGAUGCAGACUGAAGAAAGGCAAUUCCUGGAAUUUGUCUUUGGUAAGAAAACAUGGCUGCUUAUGCCCUUUGAAAGACUGAAGAAACCAAAUUGAUUAUUGCUGCAAUUUAGUGGCACGUGUACAAGGAGAGGCAUCCGAUUAAACUUGUUCAUAAAAUUAUUGCUGAUAGUUGCAGCCGAUCUCCAUGAAGUACAAACCCAACGCAAAGAAACAAAGUGUUCGUACAAUUUUAUCCGCCAGCAAUUUCGACCAAGAGACCUUGAUGCAGUUCAGACCAAUUCGCCAGUUGAACAUCAAGUUGCCUAGGCAUUGAGAAUUAGGUCAAUAAAAUAUAUCCUGGGUCACUUACAAAAGAUGAAAUAAGUGAAAAAGGAAAGAUGACGUAAUAAUUUCUUAGUGAGAAAAGUUAGUUAAUUUUCAAUUGCUUUCAUUGUUUUGAUAAUUUUCAAAACAUUUCAUUGCUUUCAUUGCGUAAUUAAGCUUUUUUUGCUUCAAAAUAUUUCAAAUUGUGUUUGUGGGACUACUAAACAAUUAGGACACAACAAUGUUUCGUUCUGGUCUUUUUUUUUUUUUACUUUUUAAUUUAUUUUAAGAAAAUCUUUGUCCAUCUCUCAUCCUGCCAAAUAUAUCGUCUCGUCUUGUUAUCUAGAAUAAUUCUUCAUGCAUCAAUGAGUUUUGACAAAUUUUUAUCUUUUAAAAGUUGUUGUAAUUCAAUAUAGCUAAAAUCUUAAAUACAUACAUGUAGAAUAAUCUAAGCAUUACCUUAUUCGGGGAAAAUCGAGAUUAGAAUCAAUCAAAGCAAUGAUACCUUAUAUCAGUGAGAUAUAUGCAAGACUCACCCAUUGGUACAAACGAAAAUGAUCAAAGUGGAAGCAAAAAUGGAAUCCUCAAAUGUGGUGAUAAUUUAGAUGAUCUCCACUCUCCAUUUGGUUUCAUCUAAUAAGUUAGUGUUUAAUUAAGAAUUUAUUACUCAUUUUAUUAUGAUAUUAAUCAACUGCCGUCCCUUCCAUUAGUUCAUUAUUUUUGAUGGAUUACGAAAGACAGACAAUAAAAUUCUCCAAAACUGUUGUAAGAGUAAUAUUGUAAAAGUUACAUAAAAGUGAGGAUAAGGAUAAUUUGAGGUAUGUUUCAAGAUAUAAAGAUUAAAUAAAUUCUUAACUCAAAAUAAAGAGAUUUAUUUUUUUUAAAAGAGAUUAAAAUGUCAUGAUAAAUAAAUAAGGGAGGUGAUAUUCUGGGCUCUCCCCUGGCUUUUUGUGAUAACAUCUUAAAUUAAUAUAAAUAGUUAAAAUUUUAUUAAAAAAUAAAUUUUUACCUAAUACUCUUUGACAUAGCUAGGAAUAUAGCCUACUUGCAAGAGACUUACAUUCGUUUGCACAGCCCUUUCGUGAAUAUAAAAUUGCUGCCGAAUAAGCAUCUAAUUAAAAGAAUUAGGAAUUUGUCAACGGUAUAAAUUAAAUAUAAAAAACGAGUAAAAGAAUUUGUCAAUGGGAUAUGGGGGGCUAUGGCUUCAAUCGUAGGGGUGGGCAAAUUUCGGAUUCCGAAUCCGAUCGGAUUUUGGAUAAUUCGGAUUGGGAAAAAAUCCAUCCAAAUUCAAUCCGAACCUUAAAUCUGUUUCGAUCCGAGAUAAUUUCGGAUCCGGAUCAGAUUCGGAUGAGUUUGAAUUUCAGAUUAUAUUUCAAGUUCGGAUUAUAUUUUGGAUUCGGAUUAAUUCGGGUUUGGGACCUUUUUACAAUUCUCACAAAAAAAUUAUGAAAUUUAUAAUUAAUGAAAAAUAAUUUCCAUGAUGCUGUCAACAAUAAUUAAUAUUUUGAAAACGCAAUAACGGAAUUUUCAAAAAAAAGAAAAAGAAAACACAGGAACGGUAUUGAUAAAGAAUUUUCAUUAGCCAUUUGUGACUGCUAACUAAAUUGUAACAACUAAGUAAAAUAUAAUAAUAAUAAUAAUACAUGCGGGUAUAUUCAAAGCAACUAAAUCACUUGCGAAUGAUCAAGACAAAUCGUAUAAACAAGUAAAAAAUUCAAAGUUUCAAACGCAAAUCGUCGGGGGCUAUCGGAUUAGUGGAUUACCAUUAACAAGACGAGGUUUAUGUCGGUGUGAGUUGCUCAUUGUGGGUCUGGAUGAUGUCGCGAUGGCUGGGUUUGUGCCAACUAUGAUCCAGCUAGGUUUGUAUCGAAUCUGAUCUCGUCUAGAGGACGUUGUGGCGGCUGGGUUUGUGUCGAAUUCAUUCGGUUUGUCUCGUCGGCGACAUGGUUGUUGGUUGGCUCGUCAGGUUGUGGCCCGUGGGUGUGGUGUGGUUUGUUGUCGUGGAUUGACUUAUCAAAGGGCGUGCGACGAUGGUGUGUGGUUUUGUCAUUUGGAAAUUGAGUUUUGAUUUUUCAUUUUCGUUUUUUUAAAAAAAAAUUUUUGGAUUAUUCGGAUUGAACUGAAUCUUAUCCGAUCCAAAUCAAAUCCGAUCAGAUUACAAAAAUUUCAUCCGAUUGGAUUUUAAAGCAAAUCCAAAUCCGAUCCGAACAAAUUCGGAUCGAAUUGGAUUAGAUCGGAUCUAUCCGAAUCUGAUCCAAUGUCCACCCCUAUUCAAUCGGUUUCUGCAAUGGUUAAUGGCAUAUUUUUGCUCAUCGUCACCACUGAAUCCACUGAUCAUUUGUGCAUGUGAGUUGUUUUUGAGCAUUUAUUUUUCCCUUUAGAAGCAUAAGGAUAAGGCUAGUCUUCUUUUUGGGAGGACUUAUUGCUUCCAUUCGUUAAAAUUGGGCAUGUAAAAUGUCAAGAAAAAAUGGCCUAAGUGGCUAGCUAGAUGAUAUAAUGGAUGGUUACUACUCAAACCUAGCAAUAAAUGAAUGUCCGACAAGCAUUCAAAUGAAUGAAUAAAACCAAUCAGAUUAGAAUAUCUAUUUAUGAUAGAUUAAUGAAAAUACGAUUCAAAUAUAAGGUAAAUAAUCUCUCCAUUAAUUUUUUAUUGUUUCAGGCAGGGUUGCCAAGCCUCUGUCCGGGCUUCUAUAAGCUCAAUUCCAGCUCUCCUAUAUGAUUGAAUUAGAUCGGGCUAGGCCCUCGGACUUUUUAAUUAAAAAAGGUCGAUUUUUAAGUUUAUGAAGUUAAUACACUCACGCUUAUACUUUAAUAUUUUUAUUAUUUGGCUUUUAGAAUAUUAACGUGUAAAUUACUUUUUUUUUUCAAGUGAAAUAAUUAUCACAUUUUGUCUUCUUAGUAUAUAUUUCUACCUUUUUGUUCCUAUAGAUAUUUCCUCAUUUCAUCUUUGGUACUAGAGCGUAGUAAAAAAACACAUGAUUAAAGAUAAAUAUGACAUUUUAACUAACAAAUUAAUUAUUUGUAUCUAAGAUCUAGCUCUAGUGGUAAAGAUCAAUUUUCAUCGAAUUCAAGUCUUGGGUUUGAAUUUAAAUGCAUGGGUAAGUUAAUAAUAAUAAUAAUAAUAAUAAUAAUAAUAAUAAUAAUAAUAAUAAUAAUAAUAAUAAUAAUAAUAAUAAUAAUAAUAAUAAUAAUAAUAAUAAUAAUAAUAAUAAUAAUAAUAAUAAUAAUAAUAAUAAUAAUAAUAAUAAUAAUAAUAAUAAUAAUAAUAAUAAUAAUAAUAAUAAUAAUAAUAAUAAUAAUAAUAAUAAUAAUAAUAAUAAUAAUAAUAAUAAUAAUAAUAAUAAUAAUAAUAAUAAUAAUAAUAAUAAUAAUAAUAAUAAUAAUAAUAAUAAUAAUAAUAAUAAUAAUAAUAAUAAUAAUAAUAAUAAUAAUAAUAAUAAUAAUAAUAAUAAUAAUAAUAAUAAUAAUAAUAAUAAUAAUAAUAAUAAUAAUAAUAAUAAUAAUAAUAAUAAUAAUAAUAAUAAUAAUAAUAAUAAUAAUAAUAAUAAUAAUAAUAAUAAUAAUAAUAAUAAUAAUAAUAAUAAUAAUAAUAAUAAUAAUAAUAAUAAUAAUAAUAAUAAUAAUAAUAAUAAUAAUAAUAAUAAUAAUAAUAAUAAUAAUAAUAAUAAUAAUAAUAAUAAUAAUAAUAAUAAUAAUAAUAAUAAUAAUAAUAAUAAUAAUAAUAAUAAUAAUAAUAAUAAUAAUAAUAAUAAUAAUAAUAAUAAUAAUAAUAAUAAUAAUAAUAAUAAUAAUAAUAAUAAUAAUAAUAAUAAUAAUAAUAAUAAUAAUAAUAAUAAUAAUAAUAAUAAUAAUAAUAAUAAUAAUAAUAAUAAUAAUAAUAAUAAUAAUAAUAAUAAUAAUAAUAAUAAUAAUAAUAAUAAUAAUAAUAAUAAUAAUAAUAAUAAUAAUAAUAAUAAUAAUAAUAAUAAUAAUAAUAAUAAUAAUAAUAAUAAUAAUAAUAAUAAUAAUAAUAAUAAUAAUAAUAAUAAUAAUAAUAAUAAUAAUAAUAAUAAUAAUAAUAAUAAUAAUAAUAAUAAUAAUAAUAAUAAUAAUAAUAAUAAUAAUAAUAAUAAUAAUAAUAAUAAUAAUAAUAAUAAUAAUAAUAAUAAUAAUAAUAAUAAUAAUAAUAAUAAUAAUAAUAAUAAUAAUAAUAAUAAUAAUAAUAAUAAUAAUAAUAAUAAUAAUAAUAAUAAUAAUAAUAAUAAUAAUAAUAAUAAUAAUAAUAAUAAUAAUAAUAAUAAUAAUAAUAAUAAUAAUAAUAAUAAUAAUAAUAAUAAUAAUAAUAAUAAUAAUAAUAAUAAUAAUAAUAAUAAUAAUAAUAAUAAUAAUAAUAAUAAUAAUAAUAAUAAUAAUAAUAAUAAUAAUAAUAAUAAUAAUAAUAAUAAUAAUAAUAAUAAUAAUAAUAAUAAUAAUAAUAAUAAUAAUAAUAAUAAUAAUAAUAAUAAUAAUAAUAAUAAUAAUAAUAAUAAUAAUAAUAAUAAUAAUAAUAAUAAUAAUAAUAAUAAUAAUAAUAAUAAUAAUAAUAAUAAUAAUAAUAAUAAUAAUAAUAAUAAUAAUAAUAAUAAUAAUAAUAAUAAUAAUAAUAAUAAUAAUAAUAAUAAUAAUAAUAAUAAUAAUAAUAAUAAUAAUAAUAAUAAUAAUAAUAAUAAUAAUAAUAAUAAUAAUAAUAAUAAUAAUAAUAAUAAUAAUAAUAAUAAUAAUAAUAAUAAUAAUAAUAAUAAUAAUAAUAAUAAUAAUAAUAAUAAUAAUAAUAAUAAUAAUAAUAAUAAUAAUAAUAAUAAUAAUAAUAAUAAUAAUAAUAAUAAUAAUAAUAAUAAUAAUAAUAAUAAUAAUAAUAAUAAUAAUAAUAAUAAUAAUAAUAAUAAUAAUAAUAAUAAUAAUAAUAAUAAUAAUAAUAAUAAUAAUAAUAAUAAUAAUAAUAAUAAUAAUAAUAAUAAUAAUAAUAAUAAUAAUAAUAAUAAUAAUAAUAAUAAUAAUAAUAAUAAUAAUAAUAAUAAUAAUAAUAAUAAUAAUAAUAAUAAUAAUAAUAAUAAUAAUAAUAAUAAUAAUAAUAAUAAUAAUAAUAAUAAUAAUAAUAAUAAUAAUAAUAAUAAUAAUAAUAAUAAUAAUAAUAAUAAUAAUAAUAAUAAUAAUAAUAAUAAUAAUAAUAAUAAUAAUAAUAAUAAUAAUAAUAAUAAUAAUAAUAAUAAUAAUAAUAAUAAUAAUAAUAAUAAUAAUAAUAAUAAUAAUAAUAAUAAUAAUAAUAAUAAUAAUAAUAAUAAUAAUAAUAAUAAUAAUAAUAAUAAUAAUAAUAAUAAUAAUAAUAAUAAUAAUAAUAAUAAUAAUAAUAAUAAUAAUAAUAAUAAUAAUAAUAAUAAUAAUAAUAAUAAUAAUAAUAAUAAUAAUAAUAAUAAUAAUAAUAAUAAUAAUAAUAAUAAUAAUAAUAAUAAUAAUAAUAAUAAUAAUAAUAAUAAUAAUAAUAAUAAUAAUAAUAAUAAUAAUAAUAAUAAUAAUAAUAAUAAUAAUAAUAAUAAUAAUAAUAAUAAUAAUAAUAAUAAUAAUAAUAAUAAUAAUAAUAAUAAUAAUAAUAAUAAUAAUAAUAAUAAUAAUAAUAAUAAUAAUAAUAAUAAUAAUAAUAAUAAUAAUAAUAAUAAUAAUAAUAAUAAUAAUAAUAAUAAUAAUAAUAAUAAUAAUAAUAAUAAUAAUAAUAAUAAUAAUAAUAAUAAUAAUAAUAAUAAUAAUAAUAAUAAUAAUAAUAAUAAUAAUAAUAAUAAUAAUAAUAAUAAUAAUAAUAAUAAUAAUAAUAAUAAUAAUAAUAAUAAUAAUAAUAAUAAUAAUAAUAAUAAUAAUAAUAAUAAUAAUAAUAAUAAUAAUAAUAAUAAUAAUAAUAAUAAUAAUAAUAAUAAUAAUAAUAAUAAUAAUAAUAAUAAUAAUAAUAAUAAUAAUAAUAAUAAUAAUAAUAAUAAUAAUAAUAAUAAUAAUAAUAAUAAUAAUAAUAAUAAUAAUAAUAAUAAUAAUAAUAAUAAUAAUAAUAAUAAUAAUAAUAAUAAUAAUAAUAAUAAUAAUAAUAAUAAUAAUAAUAAUAAUAAUAAUAAUAAUAAUAAUAAUAAUAAUAAUAAUAAUAAUAAUAAUAAUAAUAAUAAUAAUAAUAAUAAUAAUAAUAAUAAUAAUAAUAAUAAUAAUAAUAAUAAUAAUAAUAAUAAUAAUAAUAAUAAUAAUAAUAAUAAUAAUAAUAAUAAUAAUAAUAAUAAUAAUAAUAAUAAUAAUAAUAAUAAUAAUAAUAAUAAUAAUAAUAAUAAUAAUAAUAAUAAUAAUAAUAAUAAUAAUAAUAAUAAUAAUAAUAAUAAUAAUAAUAAUAAUAAUAAUAAUAAUAAUAAUAAUAAUAAUAAUAAUAAUAAUAAUAAUAAUAAUAAUAAUAAUAAUAAUAAUAAUAAUAAUAAUAAUAAUAAUAAUAAUAAUAAUAAUAAUAAUAAUAAUAAUAAUAAUAAUAAUAAUAAUAAUAAUAAUAAUAAUAAUAAUAAUAAUAAUAAUAAUAAUAAUAAUAAUAAUAAUAAUAAUAAUAAUAAUAAUAAUAAUAAUAAUAAUAAUAAUAAUAAUAAUAAUAAUAAUAAUAAUAAUAAUAAUAAUAAUAAUAAUAAUAAUAAUAAUAAUAAUAAUAAUAAUAAUAAUAAUAAUAAUAAUAAUAAUAAUAAUAAUAAUAAUAAUAAUAAUAAUAAUAAUAAUAAUAAUAAUAAUAAUAAUAAUAAUAAUAAUAAUAAUAAUAAUAAUAAUAAUAAUAAUAAUAAUAAUAAUAAUAAUAAUAAUAAUAAUAAUAAUAAUAAUAAUAAUAAUAAUAAUAAUAAUAAUAAUAAUAAUAAUAAUAAUAAUAAUAAUAAUAAUAAUAAUAAUAAUAAUAAUAAUAAUAAUAAUAAUAAUAAUAAUAAUAAUAAUAAUAAUAAUAAUAAUAAUAAUAAUAAUAAUAAUAAUAAUAAUAAUAAUAAUAAUAAUAAUAAUAAUAAUAAUAAUAAUAAUAAUAAUAAUAAUAAUAAUAAUAAUAAUAAUAAUAAUAAUAAUAAUAAUAAUAAUAAUAAUAAUAAUAAUAAUAAUAAUAAUAAUAAUAAUAAUAAUAAUAAUAAUAAUAAUAAUAAUAAUAAUAAUAAUAAUAAUAAUAAUAAUAAUAAUAAUAAUAAUAAUAAUAAUAAUAAUAAUAAUAAUAAUAAUAAUAAUAAUAAUAAUAAUAAUAAUAAUAAUAAUAAUAAUAAUAAUAAUAAUAAUAAUAAUAAUAAUAAUAAUAAUAAUAAUAAUAAUAAUAAUAAUAAUAAUAAUAAUAAUAAUAAUAAUAAUAAUAAUAAUAAUAAUAAUAAUAAUAAUAAUAAUAAUAAUAAUAAUAAUAAUAAUAAUAAUAAUAAUAAUAAUAAUAAUAAUAAUAAUAAUAAUAAUAAUAAUAAUAAUAAUAAUAAUAAUAAUAAUAAUAAUAAUAAUAAUAAUAAUAAUAAUAAUAAUAAUAAUAAUAAUAAUAAUAAUAAUAAUAAUAAUAAUAAUAAUAAUAAUAAUAAUAAUAAUAAUAAUAAUAAUAAUAAUAAUAAUAAUAAUAAUAAUAAUAAUAAUAAUAAUAAUAAUAAUAAUAAUAAUAAUAAUAAUAAUAAUAAUAAUAAUAAUAAUAAUAAUAAUAAUAAUAAUAAUAAUAAUAAUAAUAAUAAUAAUAAUAAUAAUAAUAAUAAUAAUAAUAAUAAUAAUAAUAAUAAUAAUAAUAAUAAUAAUAAUAAUAAUAAUAAUAAUAAUAAUAAUAAUAAUAAUAAUAAUAAUAAUAAUAAUAAUAAUAAUAAUAAUAAUAAUAAUAAUAAUAAUAAUAAUAAUAAUAAUAAUAAUAAUAAUAAUAAUAAUAAUAAUAAUAAUAAUAAUAAUAAUAAUAAUAAUAAUAAUAAUAAUAAUAAUAAUAAUAAUAAUAAUAAUAAUAAUAAUAAUAAUAAUAAUAAUAAUAAUAAUAAUAAUAAUAAUAAUAAUAAUAAUAAUAAUAAUAAUAAUAAUAAUAAUAAUAAUAAUAAUAAUAAUAAUAAUAAUAAUAAUAAUAAUAAUAAUAAUAAUAAUAAUAAUAAUAAUAAUAAUAAUAAUAAUAAUAAUAAUAAUAAUAAUAAUAAUAAUAAUAAUAAUAAUAAUAAUAAUAAUAAUAAUAAUAAUAAUAAUAAUAAUAAUAAUAAUAAUAAUAAUAAUAAUAAUAAUAAUAAUAAUAAUAAUAAUAAUAAUAAUAAUAAUAAUAAUAAUAAUAAUAAUAAUAAUAAUAAUAAUAAUAAUAAUAAUAAUAAUAAUAAUAAUAAUAAUAAUAAUAAUAAUAAUAAUAAUAAUAAUAAUAAUAAUAAUAAUAAUAAUAAUAAUAAUAAUAAUAAUAAUAAUAAUAAUAAUAAUAAUAAUAAUAAUAAUAAUAAUAAUAAUAAUAAUAAUAAUAAUAAUAAUAAUAAUAAUAAUAAUAAUAAUAAUAAUAAUAAUAAUAAUAAUAAUAAUAAUAAUAAUAAUAAUAAUAAUAAUAAUAAUAAUAAUAAUAAUAAUAAUAAUAAUAAUAAUAAUAAUAAUAAUAAUAAUAAUAAUAAUAAUAAUAAUAAUAAUAAUAAUAAUAAUAAUAAUAAUAAUAAUAAUAAUAAUAAUAAUAAUAAUAAUAAUAAUAAUAAUAAUAAUAAUAAUAAUAAUAAUAAUAAUAAUAAUAAUAAUAAUAAUAAUAAUAAUAAUAAUAAUAAUAAUAAUAAUAAUAAUAAUAAUAAUAAUAAUAAUAAUAAUAAUAAUAAUAAUAAUAAUAAUAAUAAUAAUAAUAAUAAUAAUAAUAAUAAUAAUAAUAAUAAUAAUAAUAAUAAUAAUAAUAAUAAUAAUAAUAAUAAUAAUAAUAAUAAUAAUAAUAAUAAUAAUAAUAAUAAUAAUAAUAAUAAUAAUAAUAAUAAUAAUAAUAAUAAUAAUAAUAAUAAUAAUAAUAAUAAUAAUAAUAAUAAUAAUAAUAAUAAUAAUAAUAAUAAUAAUAAUAAUAAUAAUAAUAAUAAUAAUAAUAAUAAUAAUAAUAAUAAUAAUAAUAAUAAUAAUAAUAAUAAUAAUAAUAAUAAUAAUAAUAAUAAUAAUAAUAAUAAUAAUAAUAAUAAUAAUAAUAAUAAUAAUAAUAAUAAUAAUAAUAAUAAUAAUAAUAAUAAUAAUAAUAAUAAUAAUAAUAAUAAUAAUAAUAAUAAUAAUAAUAAUAAUAAUAAUAAUAAUAAUAAUAAUAAUAAUAAUAAUAAUAAUAAUAAUAAUAAUAAUAAUAAUAAUAAUAAUAAUAAUAAUAAUAAUAAUAAUAAUAAUAAUAAUAAUAAUAAUAAUAAUAAUAAUAAUAAUAAUAAUAAUAAUAAUAAUAAUAAUAAUAAUAAUAAUAAUAAUAAUAAUAAUAAUAAUAAUAAUAAUAAUAAUAAUAAUAAUAAUAAUAAUAAUAAUAAUAAUAAUAAUAAUAAUAAUAAUAAUAAUAAUAAUAAUAAUAAUAAUAAUAAUAAUAAUAAUAAUAAUAAUAAUAAUAAUAAUAAUAAUAAUAAUAAUAAUAAUAAUAAUAAUAAUAAUAAUAAUAAUAAUAAUAAUAAUAAUAAUAAUAAUAAUAAUAAUAAUAAUAAUAAUAAUAAUAAUAAUAAUAAUAAUAAUAAUAAUAAUAAUAAUAAUAAUAAUAAUAAUAAUAAUAAUAAUAAUAAUAAUAAUAAUAAUAAUAAUAAUAAUAAUAAUAAUAAUAAUAAUAAUAAUAAUAAUAAUAAUAAUAAUAAUAAUAAUAAUAAUAAUAAUAAUAAUAAUAAUAAUAAUAAUAAUAAUAAUAAUAAUAAUAAUAAUAAUAAUAAUAAUAAUAAUAAUAAUAAUAAUAAUAAUAAUAAUAAUAAUAAUAAUAAUAAUAAUAAUAAUAAUAAUAAUAAUAAUAAUAAUAAUAAUAAUAAUAAUAAUAAUAAUAAUAAUAAUAAUAAUAAUAAUAAUAAUAAUAAUAAUAAUAAUAAUAAUAAUAAUAAUAAUAAUAAUAAUAAUAAUAAUAAUAAUAAUAAUAAUAAUAAUAAUAAUAAUAAUAAUAAUAAUAAUAAUAAUAAUAAUAAUAAUAAUAAUAAUAAUAAUAAUAAUAAUAAUAAUAAUAAUAAUAAUAAUAAUAAUAAUAAUAAUAAUAAUAAUAAUAAUAAUAAUAAUAAUAAUAAUAAUAAUAAUAAUAAUAAUAAUAAUAAUAAUAAUAAUAAUAAUAAUAAUAAUAAUAAUAAUAAUAAUAAUAAUAAUAAUAAUAAUAAUAAUAAUAAUAAUAAUAAUAAUAAUAAUAAUAAUAAUAAUAAUAAUAAUAAUAAUAAUAAUAAUAAUAAUAAUAAUAAUAAUAAUAAUAAUAAUAAUAAUAAUAAUAAUAAUAAUAAUAAUAAUAAUAAUAAUAAUAAUAAUAAUAAUAAUAAUAAUAAUAAUAAUAAUAAUAAUAAUAAUAAUAAUAAUAAUAAUAAUAAUAAUAAUAAUAAUAAUAAUAAUAAUAAUAAUAAUAAUAAUAAUAAUAAUAAUAAUAAUAAUAAUAAUAAUAAUAAUAAUAAUAAUAAUAAUAAUAAUAAUAAUAAUAAUAAUAAUAAUAAUAAUAAUAAUAAUAAUAAUAAUAAUAAUAAUAAUAAUAAUAAUAAUAAUAAUAAUAAUAAUAAUAAUAAUAAUAAUAAUAAUAAUAAUAAUAAUAAUAAUAAUAAUAAUAAUAAUAAUAAUAAUAAUAAUAAUAAUAAUAAUAAUAAUAAUAAUAAUAAUAAUAAUAAUAAUAAUAAUAAUAAUAAUAAUAAUAAUAAUAAUAAUAAUAAUAAUAAUAAUAAUAAUAAUAAUAAUAAUAAUAAUAAUAAUAAUAAUAAUAAUAAUAAUAAUAAUAAUAAUAAUAAUAAUAAUAAUAAUAAUAAUAAUAAUAAUAAUAAUAAUAAUAAUAAUAAUAAUAAUAAUAAUAAUAAUAAUAAUAAUAAUAAUAAUAAUAAUAAUAAUAAUAAUAAUAAUAAUAAUAAUAAUAAUAAUAAUAAUAAUAAUAAUAAUAAUAAUAAUAAUAAUAAUAAUAAUAAUAAUAAUAAUAAUAAUAAUAAUAAUAAUAAUAAUAAUAAUAAUAAUAAUAAUAAUAAUAAUAAUAAUAAUAAUAAUAAUAAUAAUAAUAAUAAUAAUAAUAAUAAUAAUAAUAAUAAUAAUAAUAAUAAUAAUAAUAAUAAUAAUAAUAAUAAUAAUAAUAAUAAUAAUAAUAAUAAUAAUAAUAAUAAUAAUAAUAAUAAUAAUAAUAAUAAUAAUAAUAAUAAUAAUAAUAAUAAUAAUAAUAAUAAUAAUAAUAAUAAUAAUAAUAAUAAUAAUAAUAAUAAUAAUAAUAAUAAUAAUAAUAAUAAUAAUAAUAAUAAUAAUAAUAAUAAUAAUAAUAAUAAUAAUAAUAAUAAUAAUAAUAAUAAUAAUAAUAAUAAUAAUAAUAAUAAUAAUAAUAAUAAUAAUAAUAAUAAUAAUAAUAAUAAUAAUAAUAAUAAUAAUAAUAAUAAUAAUAAUAAUAAUAAUAAUAAUAAUAAUAAUAAUAAUAAUAAUAAUAAUAAUAAUAAUAAUAAUAAUAAUAAUAAUAAUAAUAAUAAUAAUAAUAAUAAUAAUAAUAAUAAUAAUAAUAAUAAUAAUAAUAAUAAUAAUAAUAAUAAUAAUAAUAAUAAUAAUAAUAAUAAUAAUAAUAAUAAUAAUAAUAAUAAUAAUAAUAAUAAUAAUAAUAAUAAUAAUAAUAAUAAUAAUAAUAAUAAUAAUAAUAAUAAUAAUAAUAAUAAUAAUAAUAAUAAUAAUAAUAAUAAUAAUAAUAAUAAUAAUAAUAAUAAUAAUAAUAAUAAUAAUAAUAAUAAUAAUAAUAAUAAUAAUAAUAAUAAUAAUAAUAAUAAUAAUAAUAAUAAUAAUAAUAAUAAUAAUAAUAAUAAUAAUAAUAAUAAUAAUAAUAAUAAUAAUAAUAAUAAUAAUAAUAAUAAUAAUAAUAAUAAUAAUAAUAAUAAUAAUAAUAAUAAUAAUAAUAAUAAUAAUAAUAAUAAUAAUAAUAAUAAUAAUAAUAAUAAUAAUAAUAAUAAUAAUAAUAAUAAUAAUAAUAAUAAUAAUAAUAAUAAUAAUAAUAAUAAUAAUAAUAAUAAUAAUAAUAAUAAUAAUAAUAAUAAUAAUAAUAAUAAUAAUAAUAAUAAUAAUAAUAAUAAUAAUAAUAAUAAUAAUAAUAAUAAUAAUAAUAAUAAUAAUAAUAAUAAUAAUAAUAAUAAUAAUAAUAAUAAUAAUAAUAAUAAUAAUAAUAAUAAUAAUAAUAAUAAUAAUAAUAAUAAUAAUAAUAAUAAUAAUAAUAAUAAUAAUAAUAAUAAUAAUAAUAAUAAUAAUAAUAAUAAUAAUAAUAAUAAUAAUAAUAAUAAUAAUAAUAAUAAUAAUAAUAAUAAUAAUAAUAAUAAUAAUAAUAAUAAUAAUAAUAAUAAUAAUAAUAAUAAUAAUAAUAAUAAUAAUAAUAAUAAUAAUAAUAAUAAUAAUAAUAAUAAUAAUAAUAAUAAUAAUAAUAAUAAUAAUAAUAAUAAUAAUAAUAAUAAUAAUAAUAAUAAUAAUAAUAAUAAUAAUAAUAAUAAUAAUAAUAAUAAUAAUAAUAAUAAUAAUAAUAAUAAUAAUAAUAAUAAUAAUAAUAAUAAUAAUAAUAAUAAUAAUAAUAAUAAUAAUAAUAAUAAUAAUAAUAAUAAUAAUAAUAAUAAUAAUAAUAAUAAUAAUAAUAAUAAUAAUAAUAAUAAUAAUAAUAAUAAUAAUAAUAAUAAUAAUAAUAAUAAUAAUAAUAAUAAUAAUAAUAAUAAUAAUAAUAAUAAUAAUAAUAAUAAUAAUAAUAAUAAUAAUAAUAAUAAUAAUAAUAAUAAUAAUAAUAAUAAUAAUAAUAAUAAUAAUAAUAAUAAUAAUAAUAAUAAUAAUAAUAAUAAUAAUAAUAAUAAUAAUAAUAAUAAUAAUAAUAAUAAUAAUAAUAAUAAUAAUAAUAAUAAUAAUAAUAAUAAUAAUAAUAAUAAUAAUAAUAAUAAUAAUAAUAAUAAUAAUAAUAAUAAUAAUAAUAAUAAUAAUAAUAAUAAUAAUAAUAAUAAUAAUAAUAAUAAUAAUAAUAAUAAUAAUAAUAAUAAUAAUAAUAAUAAUAAUAAUAAUAAUAAUAAUAAUAAUAAUAAUAAUAAUAAUAAUAAUAAUAAUAAUAAUAAUAAUAAUAAUAAUAAUAAUAAUAAUAAUAAUAAUAAUAAUAAUAAUAAUAAUAAUAAUAAUAAUAAUAAUAAUAAUAAUAAUAAUAAUAAUAAUAAUAAUAAUAAUAAUAAUAAUAAUAAUAAUAAUAAUAAUAAUAAUAAUAAUAAUAAUAAUAAUAAUAAUAAUAAUAAUAAUAAUAAUAAUAAUAAUAAUAAUAAUAAUAAUAAUAAUAAUAAUAAUAAUAAUAAUAAUAAUAAUAAUAAUAAUAAUAAUAAUAAUAAUAAUAAUAAUAAUAAUAAUAAUAAUAAUAAUAAUAAUAAUAAUAAUAAUAAUAAUAAUAAUAAUAAUAAUAAUAAUAAUAAUAAUAAUAAUAAUAAUAAUAAUAAUAAUAAUAAUAAUAAUAAUAAUAAUAAUAAUAAUAAUAAUAAUAAUAAUAAUAAUAAUAAUAAUAAUAAUAAUAAUAAUAAUAAUAAUAAUAAUAAUAAUAAUAAUAAUAAUAAUAAUAAUAAUAAUAAUAAUAAUAAUAAUAAUAAUAAUAAUAAUAAUAAUAAUAAUAAUAAUAAUAAUAAUAAUAAUAAUAAUAAUAAUAAUAAUAAUAAUAAUAAUAAUAAUAAUAAUAAUAAUAAUAAUAAUAAUAAUAAUAAUAAUAAUAAUAAUAAUAAUAAUAAUAAUAAUAAUAAUAAUAAUAAUAAUAAUAAUAAUAAUAAUAAUAAUAAUAAUAAUAAUAAUAAUAAUAAUAAUAAUAAUAAUAAUAAUAAUAAUAAUAAUAAUAAUAAUAAUAAUAAUAAUAAUAAUAAUAAUAAUAAUAAUAAUAAUAAUAAUAAUAAUAAUAAUAAUAAUAAUAAUAAUAAUAAUAAUAAUAAUAAUAAUAAUAAUAAUAAUAAUAAUAAUAAUAAUAAUAAUAAUAAUAAUAAUAAUAAUAAUAAUAAUAAUAAUAAUAAUAAUAAUAAUAAUAAUAAUAAUAAUAAUAAUAAUAAUAAUAAUAAUAAUAAUAAUAAUAAUAAUAAUAAUAAUAAUAAUAAUAAUAAUAAUAAUAAUAAUAAUAAUAAUAAUAAUAAUAAUAAUAAUAAUAAUAAUAAUAAUAAUAAUAAUAAUAAUAAUAAUAAUAAUAAUAAUAAUAAUAAUAAUAAUAAUAAUAAUAAUAAUAAUAAUAAUAAUAAUAAUAAUAAUAAUAAUAAUAAUAAUAAUAAUAAUAAUAAUAAUAAUAAUAAUAAUAAUAAUAAUAAUAAUAAUAAUAAUAAUAAUAAUAAUAAUAAUAAUAAUAAUAAUAAUAAUAAUAAUAAUAAUAAUAAUAAUAAUAAUAAUAAUAAUAAUAAUAAUAAUAAUAAUAAUAAUAAUAAUAAUAAUAAUAAUAAUAAUAAUAAUAAUAAUAAUAAUAAUAAUAAUAAUAAUAAUAAUAAUAAUAAUAAUAAUAAUAAUAAUAAUAAUAAUAAUAAUAAUAAUAAUAAUAAUAAUAAUAAUAAUAAUAAUAAUAAUAAUAAUAAUAAUAAUAAUAAUAAUAAUAAUAAUAAUAAUAAUAAUAAUAAUAAUAAUAAUAAUAAUAAUAAUAAUAAUAAUAAUAAUAAUAAUAAUAAUAAUAAUAAUAAUAAUAAUAAUAAUAAUAAUAAUAAUAAUAAUAAUAAUAAUAAUAAUAAUAAUAAUAAUAAUAAUAAUAAUAAUAAUAAUAAUAAUAAUAAUAAUAAUAAUAAUAAUAAUAAUAAUAAUAAUAAUAAUAAUAAUAAUAAUAAUAAUAAUAAUAAUAAUAAUAAUAAUAAUAAUAAUAAUAAUAAUAAUAAUAAUAAUAAUAAUAAUAAUAAUAAUAAUAAUAAUAAUAAUAAUAAUAAUAAUAAUAAUAAUAAUAAUAAUAAUAAUAAUAAUAAUAAUAAUAAUAAUAAUAAUAAUAAUAAUAAUAAUAAUAAUAAUAAUAAUAAUAAUAAUAAUAAUAAUAAUAAUAAUAAUAAUAAUAAUAAUAAUAAUAAUAAUAAUAAUAAUAAUAAUAAUAAUAAUAAUAAUAAUAAUAAUAAUAAUAAUAAUAAUAAUAAUAAUAAUAAUAAUAAUAAUAAUAAUAAUAAUAAUAAUAAUAAUAAUAAUAAUAAUAAUAAUAAUAAUAAUAAUAAUAAUAAUAAUAAUAAUAAUAAUAAUAAUAAUAAUAAUAAUAAUAAUAAUAAUAAUAAUAAUAAUAAUAAUAAUAAUAAUAAUAAUAAUAAUAAUAAUAAUAAUAAUAAUAAUAAUAAUAAUAAUAAUAAUAAUAAUAAUAAUAAUAAUAAUAAUAAUAAUAAUAAUAAUAAUAAUAAUAAUAAUAAUAAUAAUAAUAAUAAUAAUAAUAAUAGAGAAGAGAAAAAUUAGAUCUAGGGUUUCUUUCUUUUUCUCCAAUCCAAAAAUCCCCCCUUUUCACAAUAGAUUCCUCCCUUAAAUACUCUCUCUCUCUUCUCCUCUAGAAUUCUAUUUAAAAUAAAAUACUAACAUCUGAAAUAUUAAAUUCGUAAUUACAAAAAUAACCAAAAAUACAAAACACGUUAAACUAAAAACUGCAGGUCCGCAGUUGACAGCACGCGCCCACGCCUUAUCAACAAAGUUCUUCUGACGCUCAUAAUUUCUCCAAGAGAACAAUCAUCCUUAAACAUCAUCUUAUAGCUCAAUUUUAUCAUCAAUCAAUAGAAUUGCACCUACAAAAGUAAAACAUAAGUAAAUCACUAUUAUUAAGUGCAAAACAUUGAUAUUAAGGGAAGUAAAUAAUGCAAAACUAGUGCAUAAAUUGCACUCUAACAGUAAUCAGUAAUCAGCAUUAAAAAUUAAAUUAAAUUAAAUUUUUUUGUUUUUAAUAUUAUUUAGUUAUAGACUUAUUAUUAUAUUUAUUCGUUCAUAAAACUAAAUAAUGUUAAAUCAAAUAAAAUAAUCAGGAAUGGUUCUUAAAAAAUUAAUAUUAUUUAUUUUAUUUUAUUUAAUAUUAUUUAGUCAUAGCCUAUUAUUCUGUUUAUUUUUUGAAAAUUAAAUAAUAUUAAAUAAAAUAGAAUAGAAAAUGUGAGUCCUUAAAAAUAAAAAUUAUUUUUAAUAUUAUUUAUUUUAUUUAAAAGAAUAAAUUUUUUAAUAUUUUUAUUUUAUUAAAAAAUAUUAUUUAAUAUUAUCUAGUCAUAGGCUUAUUAUUAUAUUUCUUCUUUUAGAAAGUUAAAUAGUAUUAAAUGAAAUAAAAUUACAUUUUAGAAGGUCAUUAGCCAAAGCACAUAAACUUAUAAACAAAUGGAAAUAAAAAAGGUAAAUAAUAUUCAAUAAAAUAAAAUUACAUUUUAAAAGGUCACCAACCAAAGCACAUAAUAUUAUAACAAAAAUGUAAAUAAAAAAGAAAGUAAGAGAUUCAAUGAAAUUUAACAUCACAAAAGACAAUUUCAAAAAUUGGGGGUAGCUUGCAACUGUUGCAAAGUGGCUGGUUCCAUAAUUUUGAGAUAAUGUUUCGGUUUCAAAUAUUGUUAUCGAUACCUAAUUAUAAGUAAUAAAAAAAUAUUGUAUAAUUUUUUUACCAACAUUUACAAUACAUUUUAUUUUGAUUUCUGAAAAAAAUAGAUAAAACACAAAUUAAUUAUUUUAACCCUCUAUUCUCUCAAUAUUUAAACUCGAAUAAUCAGUUAAAAGUUGCUCGAGAAUGUUUAAAAGCCAUUUAAGUAUACCACGUCAUUCAUGUUUUGCAAUCAUUCAAUUGUUAAUAAGUUUCCCAUGUGCUGAAAAUAAAUAAAAAUGCACGUGCAUAUGUCAUAUUGUCUCCGAAACCUCACAGCGGAAUGAGUGUAGUACUUGCAAUGCAUGUACUUUAGACUUUGUAUUUCUCUUAUUUAAAUGAUCAAUAAUUUUUCUUUGUCCUUUAAUUAGACGUCAACAGUCGAAGUUGUGGGCAGGUAGUAGGCUAUAUAUAAUAAUUUCCUGGAGAUCUUCCGUCUUCUAAGACAUUGCAAAUGCCAAACGUGAUAACUAUUUUGAUAAUUCAAAUACUACAUAAAAUAUAUGAAGUGUCAGACAAGUCAAAAGAAUUGAUUCUUCACAAUUGUAUAUACGUAUACACACACUUUGCCCAAAUCCCAUUGUAUCCAGGCUGUAAUUUUUAUAUUAAACGAACAUAUUUUAUUUUAUGUCAGCAAUAUUGAUGCAGGCUGGGGGAACAACAGCUUCAGGAUGGUCAACUACCCUUCGGAUCAUUGCAAGUGGGAUGGCAUCACUUGCAAUUCAGAUGGAAGCAUAAUCAGGCUAAAAUUAUCAUGGUGUGAUGUUGACUUCAAAAGGUAAUCUUCGUAAAAUUAUCAUGGUAUAAUAUACGUAUUUAUUUUCGCAUACAUAAAUAAAUAACAAAAUUGUAAUUAAUUGGAUACAGCUUCAGCUUUUGGACUGGUUUGUGAAAAUCAGAAAAAUUUAAAAAUGCUCCUCUUGAACAAUCAAAAUCUACUUUAUACGUGAACAAAGGGGAUGAUUCGUAAAGAUAGUUCAUCAAUGUUUGAUUGCUUUCAAGCGUGUCGAUUACUUUCAGAAAGAAAGACUUCAUUUGAUCUCGUCACAAAACAUAAUUUCACUUUGAAUUUGAAAAAGAAUAAUGAAGUUCAUACAAGUGCUGUUAUGACCUUUUUUUUUUUGUUUUCUUUUUUUCUCGACGUUGUUUUGUGAAUCAUAAGGGUUAAUUUAAUACGGUGGGUUCGCUUGUAUGAAGCGCACUUAUUGUACCAUUCUGUUGCAAGCAAUGAAAAAACGCUAUAAUUUUUUUAAGUUUCUACAAGUAUUAUGUUAUCUUAUAUCUAAAUGUGCAUCUCUAGUCUUUGCUCUCAGUUCAGGUUCUCUAAAAGUAUAUUAAUUAUGAAAAGCAUUAAAGGUUCCGAAACUCUAUUUUGCGGGGAAAAAGAACCUCCAUUUUUGGUUUUUUAUUAUAUGAGAUUUUACUAUGCUCGUAAUAACUUAAUCGAAAUUAAACAUAUCACUGGUCUACAUUUUUUUAUAAGAUUUUGUGACUUGCUAAUUAAGAUGAGUAUCACCAUCAAAUCAACAAGCUUAUACCUUCAAAGAAAAAUAGACUAUAAGUCGGGAGAAAGAAGAAAAAAAAAAAAAAAAGAAUCUUCGCAAUUUAUGCUGUUGGUUGUGAGUUCAUGAAACAAAUAAAAAUAUGAAAUCAAACAUUUAUUCAAAAUUUAAAAUUAAAAAAAAAACUCUAUAUCUACAGUAAUCUGUUCAAACCACAUAGGUGGAGCAAUAUAGUUCCAAGACGUGGUUUUAAAACAUGUCUUUGUGAUAAACAAUAUCGUGAUACUUGCGCCAAUUCCCAUGGCAAUAAUUGCCUACAUUUAUCCAAGAUCCAUGGCCAGGUUUAGAAUGUGCUAGUCUUCUUUCACUUUCAUAAAUAACCACUACUAGGUAAUCAGAGUGUCGGUCUAAAUUUUUCGGAGAUACAACGUCAAUGUAUGUGCCCGGAGUUGAAGCUGAACGCGCUUAAAUAUGUUCGGAAUUUGAAGUUGAACGCCUGGAAAAGGAUGCAGACUGAAGAAAGGCAAUUCCUGGAAUUUGUCUUUGGUAAGAAAACAUGGCUGCUUAUGCCCUUUGAAAGACUGAAGAAACCAAAUUGAUUAUUGCUGCAAUUUAGUGGCACAUGUACGAGGAGAGGCAUCCAAUUAAACUUGUUCAUAAAAGUAUUGCUGAUAGUUGCAGCCGAUCUCCAGACAAAAUCUUCGUACAAUUUUAUCCGCCAGCAAUUUCGACCAAGAGACCUUGAUGCAGUUCAGACCAAUUCGCCAGUUGAACAUCAAGUUGCCUAGGCAUUGAGAAUUAGGUCAAUAAAAUAUAUCCUGGGUCACUUACAAAAGAUGAAAUAAGUGAAAAAGGAAAGAUGACGUAAUAAUUUCUUAGUGAGAAAAGUUAGUUAAUUUGCAAAGGUCUUAGAUAAUCAAUUUGAUGUAAAAAUAUCAAAAUUUUUUUUAAUCAGUGAAAUAUUCAACCUCUAGUUUCAGCACUACAAAUGAAUUAAAUAGAAUAAUGAUAGAUAUUUUAAAAUUUUAUCCCAAAUGAUGUGAUAUGUAAUGUAUCAUUCAUUAAGUAGUUGAUGAUUUUUUUAUAAAUUUUAAGUGGAUUAAUUAUAUUAUUUUACCAACGAGUAAAUAAAUGUCACAUCAUUAGAGAAGAAAUUUUAAGGUAAAACUUUUCAAAUAUAUAUCACUACUCCAUUAAAUAUGGUAUAAAAAAUCUAAUAGGGACCAAAAAUAUAAAAACCCAUUAAAAAUAAAAAAUAUAAAAGUCAAUUCCUAAUUAGAAGAAUGAAAGUUUGUUUCUCCUACAAUCAUUUCACUAGAUUUUAAAUAAAUUAAUUAAUGAAAAUUUUUAAUAACAAAUCGGUGCCUAAACCUAACGUCUUUUUUUUUUUGGUCUUAUCCACGAGGUAUCCUGGGGAGGGCCCCAACUGUGGGAGGCACCUUUAAGCCCGUACCACAACCCAGACUAGAAGUCCCCGCUCGAACCGGGAGGCACAGGUUCUCCCAACAAAGGCGACUUCCCCGCGACUCGAACUGGGGAGCAAACCCAGUCAAGCCACUUAAGGGGACUCCAUUGCCAGUGGAGCCAACACUUUGUUGGUUAAACCUAACGUCUUUGACAGUGCUGCCAAUAUCACUCACAACUUACAAGAAAAUUUUGGUAUUAAAUUUAUUAAUGUUCUCAAGGAAUUUUUAGUUUGACUUUGCAUUCUCAGACCCAUUUGUCACAUAACACGUUAGCAAAGACCUUUAAUGAGAAUAUUAAAACAGCUGUCGAAUAAGCAUCUUGACGACGACUUUUUGACAUAUAUGCAUGCCUCCUUUUGUGAACAAAUUUGAAACAUAAAAGAAAAUUUUGAUCCAUGUGAGAGCUGGAGUAUUUUAUAGCUUUUGACCUCAUUAAUUAUGAGUAAGGGAAUAUUUCUACGUCACUAACGAUUAACAUGAUCACUAUAUAAAGGGAAGCAAAGUAUGUUUAGCAUCAAGUCAGAAAACACAAUUUUUAGGAAAUGGGAACUCUAGGACAGGCGAAGCAAUGGCCUCAAUUGGUUUGUGCUAUGGCAUUUUUGCUCAUAGCCACCACAACCGCAAAGGCAUCAGCUGAUGAUUAUGGCCCAGCACCAUCACCAAAGCAUGCAAAGCACCCUCCAAGCCAUUACAAGCCACCGAAACCACCAAAGCACCACGAGUCACCACCACCAUACUACUAUAACUCACCACCUCCACCAGUACAUUCUCCUCCACCACCUUAUUACUAUAAGUCUCCACCACCACCUUCUCUAUCUCCACCACCUCCUUACUAUUAUAAAUCACCACCACCACCGAAACAUUCUCCUCCACCUCCUUACUACUACAAAUCACCACCUCCUCCUUCUCCCUCUCCACCUCCACCAUAUUAUUACAAGUCUCCCCCACCACCAUCUCCAUCUCCCCCACCGCCUUACUACUAUAAAUCCCCACCACCACCAAAAUAUUCUCCUCCACCACCUUACUACUAUAAGUCACCACCUCCACCAGUGAAAUCUCCACCUCCGCCAUAUUACUAUAAAUCACCACCACCACCAAAACAUUCUCCCCCACCACCUUACUACUACAAGUCACCACCACCACCAAUGCAUUCUCCCCCACCACCUUACUAUUACAAAUCUCCACCACCACCAAAGCAUUCUCCUCCACCACCACCUUAUUACAAAUCACCACCCCCACCACCACCAAAACAUUCUCCCCCACCACCUUACUACUAUAAAUCUCCACCGCCACCAAAACAUUCUCCUCCUCCACCAUACUACUAUAAGUCACCACCUCCACCUGUAAAGUCUCCACCUCCACCACCUCACUACAAAUCACCACCACCACCAAAACAGUCUCCUCCACCACCUUAUUACUACAAGUCACCACCCCCACCAGUAAAGUCUCCACCACAGCCACCAAAGCAUUCUCCCCCGCCACCUUACUAUUACAAAUCACCACCUCCACCAAUGAAGUCUCCACCACCGCCACCUUACUAUAAAUCACCACCACCACCAAAUUCUCCCCCUCCACCUUACUAUUACAAAUCACCACCACCACCAAAGCAUUCCCCCCCGCCACCUUAUUACUAUAGAUCUCCACCACCACCAAAGUAUUCUCCCCCACCACCUUACUACUAUAAGUCACCACCUCCACCAAAGCAUUCUCCCCCGCCUCCUUACUAUUACAAAUCUCCACCACCACCUUACUAAUACAAAUCUCCACCACCACCAUCUCUAUCCCCACCUCCAUCUUCCAUUUACACCGCCACCAUCUACAUCACCUCCACCACCAUCUCCAUCAUUGUCACUAUUGCCUUCCGACUACUCCAUGUGAUCACCACCUCCCGAAGACUUCUAAGUUCAAUGUCCCUUCUUGAAACAAGUUU